GUUUUACGGCGUCGGAGGAGGUGAAGUGAUGAGGGAUUAUUUUGUUGUUGUAGCCGGUGUGAAUGGAGAUCUCGGAAGCCAAUCGGUUGGAUGGGUUGUGUCGCCGUGAAAGUUGUUGGAGGAAGGGUUUUACCGUGGUGGCGAUUUUUGUGUUUAAUGGGGUCUUGCCGGCGACGGAGGGUUUGGUGAAGGCCACACAGAAGGUUUGUUUGUAUGGUUGUGGUUAGGUGAUUGUUAGGUGAUGAGUGUUGGAAUGCGGCGUAUCACGGUGCGGGUGGAAGGCGAAAUAUGGUAUUAAUGUUAUUGUGAGGGUCGAUGAAGAAAAAGAAGGGUAAAAGGAGAGGAAUGGCGAGGAGGAGCUUUGACGGGGGAAGGAGGUUGUAGGAGGAUGACGUCAGAGACCUGACGGGGGAAGGAGGUUGUAGGAGGAUGACGUCAGAGACCUUUGGGAGAAGAAGAGGGUCCUUCCCAAGAGAGAAAGAUCAAAAAUUCUUUAAUUCGUCUCUUUCGUUUUCUUUUAUUUUUUUUCUAGCAGACCAAAAGAGAGAAUUCUGUUGGUGAGUGGGGAUGAAACCAAUCCCUUUUUGAUUGGUGGGAGCGGUCCCUCUCUAAUCCCUUCACCAACUAUUAAUCAAUUUAUUUUCUACUCCUUUUUUUUGUUUUUUCGCCAGCUGUCCUCUUGGAGAGAGGGAGUACUAUUGUGAGCUGUCAUCAACAAUGUCGUUGGGAAUGGAAGGGGGUGACGUGUGUGGUGUGUGCAUUAGGGAAUAACCUUUUAUUUUAACCAAAUAUAAAAUGAGAUAAGAGUGCCACAUGGAGCUCACUAAUUGGACCAAGGAGAUAUUUUAUUUUUUUAAUUUUAUUAAUUAACUAAAUAAAUUAAAUGUUAGUUUAUAAUUGAUUAAUAAGAGAAAAUGAGGAUAAUGCAUGUGAUCAUUUGAUUAAAUUUGAAUCGACGCUUCAGAUUUAAAUCAAAGAAGCAUACGAAAAUUUAAAAUGCCUACAAUGUCUCUUCUAAAUGAUUUAAUGAAUUUAAAACAAAUUAAAUCAAUUAAAUUAAAUAAAACUCACAAUUUUAAAAAUGAACGUGAUAAAAAUAAAAUAAUAACACAAAAUUUAUAUUUUAUUAUCCCGGUUAGUUUAACGAAAGAAUAAAAAUAAAACAACUAAGAAUGAAUAAAAGUCGGACACAAAUUUGCUCGAAAAAUUAAAUCGGACACACUAAAAUGAUCAGUGUGAAAUAAAUUUAUUGGAAAAAUACAGCGUUUAAUUUAAUUUUGAAAUAAAUUUUGACCGGUUAAAAGGCUCAAACGGAUCAAAAUGCGACCGAGAAAGUUGUCGAAAAAUAUAAUGAGCACACCAGGUUAAACUACGUGAACCAUAGAUUAAUAAUACUGACGUCUGCAAGCUUGAUUUCAAAACUUUUUACCCGCUGAUUUUGCAUGUACUUGAGGAAUGAUUUAACCAAUUUGUCUGUAUAUUCAAGAAUUUAUUCUGACUGAUAUUUUAGGUAUUAUUCAUGAUAAAAUGAAAUAUUAUGCUAUACAUAUGAUACAAACUGAAAUUAAAAUCGAAUUUAUGAAAGUUUUAAAAUGUCCGGACAAAAUUGGGGUAUGAUACCAUGUAGCUUGCAUAGGGGAGAAUAAAAAACCCAAGGUUCGGUGGUUUGAUUCUCCGUCACCUCCAUCUUCAUUAGCUCUCAGAUUUUUGUGCUUAGGAUUCUUGAUGUUAACUGCUUAAUUUUCAGAAUUUGUUAAGCUAUAAUUAAGAGAAAGAUUAGGAUAGGAGUGUUGGAGAGGAGUAAGAAUUUGGAGCCUUUUUCCUUGAAUCCGGACAACUCUGCCGCCUCCGGUGCUGCGGUGCCGGAACUCCGACAGUGGUUCUGCUUUGCCUUCAUGUUGGGAUUGUUUGACUGGUCCAAGGAGUGUUCACUCCAUACCAUUCAUUUCCAUGUGUAGCAUUAACAUGCAUGCUGAUAGCAUUUUUUCGUCUUCAUUAUUGGUGCUGAAUUCUUGCUAACUAUGUUGUUUGAGCCUUAGGCCAAGCUACUGUUCAUCUUAAUCAUGAAAGUCUCGUAAUUAAUUAAUCGAUUCCAAUUCCAAUUCUGUUUUUGACAUUACUCUUGAUGUUGUUUGUGUAUGAAAUAGUUUUUAAUUCCUGUUUUUGGCAUUUUUGAGUCACAUAAUUGUAGAGGUAAAUAGCUUAAUUCAUGUUCAAUUAAAGAUUAGGAUUAGGUAAUUAGUUAGGAAUUAGGCUUAAUCAUGUGCAUGUUAGACUAAUUUCUUAAUUUUUCCAGACUUUGUUUUCACGUGAUCAACCAUGCUAGGCUUAGAAUUUCAUUUGGUUUACCAUGCUAAUUUCCAUGUACAUGAGUAAUCUCACUUUGACUAGAUUACGUUUCAUUUGUGGUUAAGGGCUGAACUGAAAAUUCCAUUUCAUUUUAAUUUGAUAUACGUUUGUUCAUCACGAUCAUCAUAUCGCACCAUGCUAUUAUCAUACCCUCUCAUUCAUUUGAGUCGGCAUUUUAAUUCCUUCUUAUUUGAUGCAUACUAACCAGUGUUGUUUUGUGGCGACAUGCAAAUAAGAGAUCUCAACACUAUCCAAAUCCCUUUUAUUUUUAUUCGUUAGUUUGUAGUAUGUGAAGUGCCAUGCCACUUGUAUGGUUUAUACAUGGCACAUGAGUUGUAAAUUAUAUUUCCCUUUCAUGCCUUCAUGUUGUAUUAUGUGGAUCCAUCCCCUCAUUAUGGGUUAAAUGUUCCCCCUCCCCUAGUCAUGUAACAACUUAAAUUUACUGCUUUCUAGUUAGUUCACCAUGCAUGUUAAUAACCAAGAUAAAAUACAAAACGAUAAAAAAAUCAUUUUUGAAAGAAACAAAAGGUACUUGAUUCAAUGUCAAGUUUUUUUUCCAAAUAAAACUCACACCAUUGCAACGCAAACACUCGAUUUGACACCAAGUAUUUCCCACCCUUUCUUUCCCAUCUUAUCUCCUCAAUCGACCACUAUUUCAAAAUCAAUAAGCAAACCCUUCAUCCAACGUUAAAUGGUCCUUUUUUAAAUCAAAUUCAAAAACACAAUAAAUACGAUUAGGAUUGUAUGCCACGAGCCUUAAGUGGUAAAGAAGGGAUGAGAAUGGAGCUUUCCUACACUCGUUCUGAAUACUUCGAACACAAGACGUUUGGCUUGGUAGUUUUAGGUAUUCACCUUUAUCCAUAGUCUUUAGUGCAAUCCAUAAUUAAUAACACUUUCUUAAAACAUAAAAAUAAUCCAACGCAUUCAAACCUUUUGUUUGAGCCUUAGGGCGACGCAAUCGAAAAUCCUUCUUCAAGGUAAUAAAAAUCAACCAAACAAACAAACCUUUUAAACCCAUGAACUAUGGGGCUCUGAUUUCUCACUUCAACAAGUGGGCAUACGUAGGCACAAGGACCCAAAUCCUUGGCGAGCACACUAAUUUAAAAUCUACCUCCACUCCGCAAGCCUUUGGCAAGAAAACAUUCGAUAAAUAACAUCCACGUAAGCGCAAACAUCCUAGAUGGUUCCCAUGGAGUAACAUGGAUGUGAGGGGUGCUAAUACCUUCCCCUUGCAUAACCGACUUCCGAACCUGUUCGUGGUUGCGAUGACCAUUCUUUGAGGUUUUCUAGAUAUUUUCCCUUUCCUUUAGAAUAAAUAAAAACCGAUGGCGACUUUGUAUUUUUCGCGUAGCGACAACUAACGACUCUGGUUGGGAUAUGCAGACAGCUUGUUGGGACUUCCCUAGCGAGCUGGAGACUCUGCUAGGGACAACUCUCUAAGUAAUUCAAGCCUAACCUAGGUCGCUUCCUUGCGUGUGUGGGUGUUUAUCCUUUUGAUUGUUUGUUUUAUUUAUUGCCUUUCGCUUUAAAUUUUGUAAUAUAUGUUACUUGGAUCCAUUGUUCUAUGAUACCGAAUGGAUGACACCUUAAUUGCAAGAAGCCUUGUGGUAAAGACUCUCCACCCGAGUCUAGCGUGGAAAUUAAGAUAGGAUAGGUUGUGUAGUAUGGGCCACCAAGAAGCUUUUCUCGUAAGGGUCGAUACGAGAAUCUCGCUUAGAGUAGAUUCUUUUGGAGAUGUUGACGACUGUCAAGCUUUUGGCGUAAGCGAUCAAUGUCUUCAUUAGGAUCAAUGACUCUAAGGACCUUCAUAGAAUAUUGAACCUUUGACUAAUUAAUAUUGAUGGUCGCGUAGUGCGGGUCCCUAAGAAGCUUUUCUCGCGUGGGUCGGUACAAAGAUCUCACUCAAAGUAGAUUUUCUUGAUCGAGUUGUCGACCGACAAGCUUUUGUUGUAAGCGAAAAACAGUCAAGGAGGUCCAUGACUUUAAGAACCUUGUCUAGAACCCGAUGUCGAUGGUUACGUACUGAGGGUCCCCGAGAAGCUUUUAUCGUGUGGGUUGGUACGAAGAUCUCACCCAGAUUAGACUCAUUUGAGGGAGUUGACGACCGACAAGCUUUUCCCGUCAGCGCCAAACAGUCAAAUGGAUCGAUGAGUAUGGGGUCCCUAUCUAUAACCCUAGACUACAACCAGUGAGAUCCCUAAUAUGGAGAGAAAUCAGUGUUAUCCUCCAUCCGUAUCUCGAGCCUGUGAUACUACGCCUUCUUGUGUAUGCAACUUGUGAAGCCAUGCUUAUGCACCGUACAUUCAUGCAUUCGUGCAUUCGUGCAUUCGUGCAUUCGUGCAUUCAUGCAUCAUGAGUGAUAAAAACAAAUAUAAUACUCAUGCAUCAUUCACAUAUUAUAUUGCAUUUCGUGAGACCCAUCUCACUAUCACUUGGCCUUUUGUCAGACGAACCACUUCCAACAAAGCUGAUUUCCCGACAUCGGUCUUGAACUUGAAGCAUGUCGUAGAUUACCAUGGAAGAAAUACGAAGAGGUCAAGAAGCGUUGAAGGUCGAAAUCAACCAGCUGAAGACUCAGAUGAGUUUGAUCAUGGAGAUCUUGCAGUCAAUGAUGAGGAAGGAGGGAAAGUCCAUGCCAACUGAUGUACUAGAAGGGGUCACUCCGGUGAGUGUGUCUGACCUCAUUCCACCUUAGGAGCAGCCUCAUGGUUUUCGUCCACAUCCUGUACCUCCAAGGGCUCCGUAUCAGUGACCAUUUCUUGUUCCCCGACCAAGGUGAAGGAACCCUGUGUCGGACCAGUAUCCAAAUCAGCAGUGGAACUUCGCUUAAUAAAGAAGAUAGGGACCAAGAAGGCCUCAAAAGCAGUUUGAUCUAGUUCCCAUGUCGUAUGGUUGAAUCCUACCCCUAUUUCUUAAUAGCUCAUUGGUGUAGUUGAGGGAAGCUAAAUCCCCUCCAACACCUCUUCCUCCAGAUUAUGAUGUGAAUACUAGGUGCGAGUUCCAUUCUAGGACGCCUGGACACUUAAUCGAAGACUGUAAGAGCCUCAAGUACAAGGUACAUGAUUUGAUUGAUUCAAGGGUCAUCGUGCUCACACCGUAAGGCCUGAACAUAAUGAACACUCCCAUGCCUCCACAUGAGGGCACAUCUGCAAUGCCAUGACCGAUGCGAAUGGAAAAUAGGGUAGAUUGGAAGAGUCUGCACCUACGAGUAAAGUUUGAGAAGGAUCCCCUUGAAGAUGAUCAUGUUAUCUUCUGUAAGCCUAGUAAUUCCAGUCUGAGGAUCUGAAUAAGGCCAAUUAUGCCCGUAGUCACUAGUUUUAUUAAAACAUGUUCAUGUGUGAUUUUCUUGAUUGUCAUUUGUAACACUAAUUUGUAGCAAACUAGUUUGUUUUUGAAUAAUAAUGACAUUUUAUUGAAUAUGCAUGUUUUGAAUAAAUCCAUUCGUGGCCACUCAUACUUUAUUUUGUCAAUAUCUAACUUUUGUUUGAGCAAAACCUAGAGGAGGAGGAUGAAAUUGAAAACACGAAAUCACUACUCGUAUAUGUAGAAGCAAGCUUCAAUCCAAGAAUUAUUUUGAUGAAGACAACUUGCAUCAAUGCAAAAAGAGAAGAGCUACAAAGUUAUUUCAAGCAUCAAGUUUUCAAAGCCGCAUAUGCAUUUUGAUCAAGUUUCAUUUUCAAGUCAACCGUUUGCAAGAUUGUUGAUUCACUUCUUAGGUAUAUCUAACUCACUCUUAGAUUAGUAUACAAGUGUUCAACAACCAUGAUCUGGAUUUGCAUCUUUUAACAUAACCAUUUGUUAACACCUUGAAAUGCAAGACACAUUUAUUUUUAAGUAUUUUUCUGCAUUUCAACAGUGUUAACCGGUUAACCAUAUGGGUUAACCGGUUAACAGCCCAGUUUUUCAAAUUCUUUGUUAACGUUUGCAUGCGUUAACCGGUUAACCCAUAUGGUUAACCGGUUAACACUGUUCGUUACAGCAAAAAAUGUUUUUGAAAAAUUAUAUCUUUUCAUCAAUGUUCAUGAGGGAAUUGAUACCUCUUUGAAAAGGUGUUUUGGCAAUAUAAAUUAUUAAAUUUUCAAAAUGAAUUUUGACCUCCAAGAAUUUUCAUACAAACUUCAAAUAAUCACUCUCUCAUAUUUUUCCUUCCAUAAAUUUUUGAAAGUGUUCAUAAUAAAAAUUGUCAUCUCAUUCUAUUGUUGAACACUUGCAUAUUAUCUUUUGAGUGACUUAUUUAUCUAAGGAGAAGAUCAAUCAAGAGAAGAUUGAUAACACUACAUCUUUGAUAAAAUCAUUCAUAGAAUUAUUUCUGUUUGACUUGUGAUCCAGGAUUGUUGGACACAAGGGUUGGUGUUGAAGAGGAUUGUUCUUCAUACACUUGUUUGUCUAUAGGUUAGAUAGUAGGCAUCACCGUUUGUGUGAAUAGGCUGUACCAUAUUCUAACUAUAGUGAAUUCUCUUUCGUGUGAAAGGGGAGUGGAUGUACCUUCGGAUUGUGAAGGGAACCACUAUAAUUUCCGGUGUCGUUUACUUUCCGCAUUUUAAUUUUCCGCACUUAAACAAAAAUAUCCAAAAACCGGAAACUAGAUCGAAGAAAUUUUUAUCACCUAAUUCACCCCCCCUCUUAGGCGCAUUUACAACUUACAUUUGGCAUCAGAGCAAGUUAUAGGUAACUUGUUCCUAGAGAUCCAGCAUGGCUUCCGCAAGCAUAAAUCCGGUUUUCAAAGACGGUGGAAGUAGCAACAAGCCCCCACUCUUCUCCGGAGAAUAUUUCGAUUUCUGGAAAAUAAGAAUGAAGGCACAUCUUGAGGCCCAAGGAGAAGGUAUAUGGGAAGCAGUUGAAGAAGGUCCACACAAACCGGUGAAUGUGGUGAAUGGAGUUGGUACCGCAAAGUUGAAAAACACUUAUGACGAAGAUGAUAGGAAAAAGAUUCUGAAUGAGAAGAAGGCAAUCAACAUACUCCAAAGCGCUCUUAGUAUGGACGAGUUCUUCCGUAUAUCUCAAUGUAAAUCGGCAAAGGAGAUUUGGGACACCUUGGUUGAAACACAUGAAGGAACCACCGAAGUGAAGAGAUCGAGGCUAAACACCCUAAGUCAAGAAUAUGAGAUGUUCCGCAUGCAGCCCGGUGAAUCUAUAGUUGCCUUACAAAAGAGAUUCGUCCAUCUAACAAAUCACUUGAUCGCUCUGGGUAAAACUUUCACUAAUGAUGAUCUCAACCUGAAAGUCCUAAGAUCUUUGACAAGAGAAUGGCAACCGAAAGUGACCGCUAUUUCGGAAAAGAAGAGUCUCUCAACGAUGACAUCCGCGUCUCUAUUUGGAAAACUUCAAGAACACGAAUUGGAACUUGGAAGGCUCGAGAAGCACGAAAGUCAAGAAAAGAAGUCCAAGGGAAUUGCCCUGAAGGUUGAUUCAAAAAGGGACAAAGAUGAUGAGACAUCCGAAGAUGAGAACUUUAUGCUUCUUGUAAAGAAGCUUGGUAAGUUUUUUAAUAAAAAUAAGAAUUCCUCUUAUCCUAAAAAGAAUAACCAUUUCAGGAAAAAGGAAGCAUCCACAUCAAUGCAAGACGUUACGUGUUAUGAAUGUGGACAGCAAGGUCACAUAAAGACGGACUGCCCAAAACUUGCAAAGAAAGGAGGAUUCAAAGGCAAGAAGGAAUUCAAAAACAAAAAGGCUUACGUCGCUUGGGACGAUAAUAAGAUCAGUUCAUCUUCGGAAUCGGAAAGAGAUGAAUGUGCGAACAUGGCUCUUAUGGCUUCACAUCACUCCGAUGAAGAAAUCGAUGAGGUGAGUAGCAAUUUUUCAGUUUAUGACAAUGAUGCACAAGAUGUUAUAAAUGAAAUCUUAAAAGAAUGCAAGACAUUGUAUAAAAUUAUUUCAUCCCAAAAGAAACAAAUUUCAUCCUUAGAAGAAAAAAAUACUGCCUUGGAAAAAUAUAUUGAAAGUGGAAAACAAAAGUUGAUGGAUGAAAAACAAAGUCUUGCAUGUAAGAAUUGUGAAUCUUUAUCUUUUCAAAUUGUUCAACUUAAAAGAGUUUUAGAAAGAUAUGAAAAAGGUCAAAUUGGGUUGGAAGAAAUUCUUAAACACCAAAGGUAUUCUAAUGACAAAAGUGGAUUAGGAUAUUCUAAGUUUUCUAAACCAAGCACAAAUAAGACCAUUUUUGUUAAAGCAAGUGAACAAGUUGCUAAAGAGAAAGUAAACAAUUCUAAAAUUAUGCAUCAAAGUCAUAAAAAGAAAAUGAUUGCUAAGAAGAAGAAUUAUGUUCCUAGAUAUAGAAGUAAUUUUCAACCUACUUGCUUUUAUUGUGGAAUCAAAGGGCACACACCUAAUGCUUGUUAUGUGCGAAACUUUAGCGUUCCAACAGGGCAUUAUGUGUGGGUUAAAAAGGGUACUAACUACCAAGGACCCAAAGCAAUUUGGGUACCUAACAAAACUUGAUUUUGUUUUGUAGGUAUGCUUGAAGACAACCUCGAAUCAAUGGUAUCUUGAUAGCGGUUGUUCAAAGCAUAUGACGGGCGACAUCGACAAAUUUUCACAUCUAUCUUUAAAGGCCAAAGGAUAUGUUACAUACGGUGAUGACACCAAAGGGAAGAUCCUUGGAGUAGGAACCAUUGGAGCACCUCCUGUUACCAUCAUCGAAGAUGUCCUUUAUGUUGAAGGCCUAAAGCACAAUUUACUAAGUAUAAGUCAAUUGUGUGACAAAGGGUUCCGAAUCAAUUUCACAAAAGAUGAAUGUGUGAUAGAGCAUGAAGUCACCCAUGACAUCUUGCUAAAAGGUAAAAGGGUUAAUAAUAUUUUUAUGACUUCUUUUGAUGAUUCUUCCUUGAAGGUAAAAUGCCUAAUGACGAACAACAACGAGGCUUGGCUAUGGCAUAAAAGAUUCGCUCAUAUACACAUGGAGCACAUGAACAAAUUAAUAAAGCAUGAUCUUGUCGUUGGUCUUCCAAAGAUUAAGUUCAUCAAGGAUAAGCUGUGUGACGCAUGCCAAAAGGGAAAGCAAACCAAGACAACUUUCAAAUCCAAGAAUGUUGUAUCUUCAUCGAGGCCACUUCAACUCUUGCACAUGGAUCUCUUCGGUCCAUCAAGAACGAAAAGUUUCGGAGGUAAUGUUUACGGUUUGGUAAUUGUUGAUGAUUUCUCUAGAUAUACGUGGACUUUGUUUCUUGUGCAGAAAAGCGAUGCUUUCAAGGCUUUCAAAAAAUAUGCAAAACAAAUUCAGAAUGAGAAGUCUCUUUCAAUAAUCUCCAUUAGAAGUGACCACGGGGGAGAAUUUCAAAACACAUUCUUUGAAGAAUUUUGCGAAAAACACGGAAUUUCCCACAACUUCUCCGCACCACGAACACCACAACAAAACGGUGUCGUAGAGAGAAAGAAUAGAUCCUUGGUGGAACUCGCAAGAACAAUGCUCAGUGACUCCAACCUUCCUAAAUAUUUUUGGGCGGACGCAGUUAGCACAGCAUGCUUUGUUAGCAACCGUGUCAACAUUCGGCCGAUUCUCAAAAAGACUCCGUAUGAGCUUUUCAAAGGAAGGAAACCUAAUAUAUCCUUCUUUCACAUCUUUGGGUGCAAAUGUUUUGUCCUCAACAAUGGAAAGGACAAUCUUGGUAAGUUUGAUGAGAAAUCCGACGAAGGUAUCUUCCUUGGCUACUCCCUUUCUAGUAAGGCUUUUAGAAUUUUCAAUAAAAGAACUCUUACUAUUGAAGAAUCAACGCAUGUAUGUUUUGAUGAAACUAACCCCUCGAAAGAGGAUAACCUUGUUGUUGAUGACGAUGAUGAUAUAAUAGAUGUAUCACAAAAGGAACUUUCAAAUGUUCAAUCAAUUCCACAAGGAGAUGGCUCACCAAUCAUUGAAGAACAUCAUGAUCUACCGAAAGAAUGGAAAACUCAUAGAGAUCACCCCAUCGAUAAAGUUAUUGGUGAUAUUAGCCAAGGCGUUGCAACACGACUAAAUCUCAAAGAUGCUUGUCUCAACAUGGCUUUUGUGUCUCAAAUAGAACCAACCAAAGUCGAUGAAGCCUUAGGCGACGAUCAAUGGAUAGUAGCAAUGCAAGAAGAACUCAACCAAUUCGAAAGAAAUCAAGUUUGGAGUCUUGUACCAAGACCGGACAACAAGCACAUCAUUGGAACAAGAUGGGUCUUCAAGAACAAACUUGAUGAGAAUGGGAUCAUAGUUCGUAACAAAGCAAGAUUGGUCGCACAAGGAUACAACCAACAGGAAGGAAUUGAUUUUGAUGAGACGUUCGCUCCGGUAGCAAGGUUAGAAGCAAUUCGAUUAUUACUUGCUUUUGCUUGUUCUAUGAACUUUCAAUUGUUUCAGAUGGAUGUCAAAAGCGCUUUCCUAAAUGGCUAUAUCAAUGAAGAAGUCUACGUCAAACAACCUCCGGGUUUUGAAGACUUCAAGAACCCCUCACAUGUUUACAAGUUGAAGAAAGCACUAUAUGGUUUAAAGCAAGCACCGAGAGCGUGGUAUGACCGCCUCAGCAACUUUCUAUGUGAAAAGGGAUUUGUAAAAGGAAAGGUUGACAAGACUCUGUUCAUAAAGAAGAUCAAGGGUAACACCUUAUUGGCUCAAGUCUAUGUCGACGACAUCAUCUUCGGUUCAACAAAUAAAGAUCUUUGCGAAGAGUUUUCAACCAUGAUGCAAGGAGAAUUCGAGAUGUCCAUGAUGGGAAAAUUGAACUAUUUUCUUGGACUACAAAUCAAGCAAACCAAGGAUGGCAUCUUCAUCAACCAAUCCAAGUAUUGCAAGGAAUUAUUGAAAAGAUUUGAUAUGGAUAGUUGCAAAGUGAUGUCCACUCCUAUGGGAUCCGGAACGUACGUUGAUCAAGAUGAAUCCGGAAUGUCAAUAGAUAUUACAAAAUAUCGAGGUAUGAUUGGUUCAUUACUAUAUUUGACGGCAAGCCGUCCUGACAUUAUGUUUAGUGUAUGUUUGUGUGCACGCUUUCAAGCAAACCCGAAGGAAUCGCAUCUCACCGCCGUGAAGAGGAUUAUGAAAUAUCUCAAAGGAACAACGAACGUCGGACUAUGGUAUCCAAAAGGUAGUAUAUGCUCCUUGAUUGGUUAUUCUGAUGCUGACUAUGCAGGCUGUAAGACCGAUAGAAAAAGCACAAGUGGUACCUGUCACAUUCUCGGGAAUGCACUAGUGUCGUGGGCAUGCAAGAAGCAAGCAUGUGUCGCACUUAGCACGGCCGAAGCAGAGUACAUUGCAGCAGGCAGUUGUUGUGCACAAAUUUUAUGGCUUAAGCAACAACUUCUGGAUUUUGGUGUAGACCUCGGCUGCAUUCCUCUUCGAUGCGAUAACACAAGUGCCAUCAACAUCACAAAGAACCCGGUCAUGCAUUCAAGGACAAAGCACAUAGAUAUCCGACAUCAUUUCCUUCGAGAUCACGUGCUUAACGGAGAUGUAGAUGUUACGUUCGUGGAUACACAUAACCAACUCGCCGACAUAUUCACAAAACCAUUGGCUAAAGAGCAAUUCUUCAAGAUUCGGCGAGAACUUGGUAUUCUCAAUGAAGGUGACAUCUAACCUUGUCUUCAAAUUACUUGUUAUGUGGUAUAGUUGCUAAAAAUGUGUUUACUUUCAGUUUUUAUGUUAUGCAAUGCUAGCACUUCUUUUUCGCCGUUUUCCGUUUUUCUUACUUUCGCAUGUCCAAAUAUUAUCCGUUUUAAAAUAUUUUUAAAUCGAAAGUUGCGUAUUGAUAAGUGCUAACACUUUGUGCAAAAAUUUUGAAAAGAUCUUUUCCCGAUUCUUCCAAACGGAGCUGCUGUUUUUUUUCUACUUUUUGAAAAAUUCAGUCCGUUAACCGGUUAACGGUAUAGGUUAACCGGUUAACACCUUCCAACAACAACUCUGUUUUUCGUUUUUAAAUACAACAUUUUUAAAUUAAUUGUUUUAUUUUUAUUACGUGUGUUUAUGUUCAAUGCAUGUGCUUUACUCUUCCACCUUCUCCUCAUAACUCUCUCCUCCCUCAUUACUCUCCAUAAACCCUUCAUCUCUUUAUAUUCAACUUUCAUAACUCUCAAACCCCUUUUCCGAAAAUCCAUCUCUAAACCCUAGAAUCUUCAUCUUCUUCAUGGCUCCACCAAGAAUGGGAAAGGCUCCUGUAUCAUCAUCUAGCAGUGAAGAGGAAGAGUUGAAAAUGGAAACCGCCAAGAAAAGGAGGAUGGAUUUCAAAGUCAGGGUUAGACAUCUGCUUAAGGGUAAGUAUGUGAAUCUCAAAUCCUUCACUACUUUCUCUUUCCCUGAGUUGUUGAGAUACCAAGGAUUGCAUGCGUUCAUCACUGAUAAUGGGAAAAUUUACACUGAUUUGGUAAAAUCUUUUCUGAAUCAUUUUACUUUAAAUCUGAAUGAUGAUGAACAACACAUGCUGUCUGCAACUGUAAGAGACUCUGAAAUUGUUACAGACCUUAGGACGUUGGCUGCGUCUCUUAAGAUUCCAUAUUCUGGUUUUUUCCUUCGGAAAGGUGUUAAUCAUGAGGAAGGAAAAUGGGCUCAGUAUGAUAAGAUGGAAUACUACUACUCUAUCUGCAGAUUUCCCAGGGAGGUUGUUAUGUCGGGACAGCGCACUUCUCGCAUACUCUGCUAUGCUAAGAAUCUGUCGGUUGACGAUCGUAUGCUGCAUUAUGUUAUCUGCCAUGUCCUGCUGCCCAAGGAUUCCAACCUGUCUCAAAUCAAUGAUUUGGAAAUGCAAGUUCUGUUUGCAGUGAAGAACAAAAUCCGAGUUAAUUGGCUGCCCACUAUGAUGUAUCAUCUGAGACAGCAACUUUCUCUCAAAACAAGGCUGCCAUACGGUCGCCUUAUCUCAAGGAUUUUGGAACUCACAGAUAUGGAAAUCGGGAGAGAACCGUUUUUGGCUAUGACCACUACCGCCAAUGAAAUCAACGGCGUUACCAUCAUGAAAAAUACUGGAAUUAUUCAAAGCAACGACGGCUCCUACAAAUAUGAUGAUGGGUCCUCCUCUUCAAACUUCCCUAUUCCGGAAGGUGGCAUUACCAAUGAGUUUCUCUAUACUACCAUGAUGAGCCACCACCGUGAAACCACCCGUGCUAUCAAGAGUCUUCGGAACCUAGUGUUGAGUUCCCGCAACCUUCCUGUAGAAGAUGAUGAAGGUGAAGACGGUAGUGAAGCGGAUGGCGAGGAGGAUGAGGCCGGUUCGGAAGAAGAAUAGAGCACUAUGUUUUUUUUUCUAUGUUUCUGUUAUAUGUUGUUCUAAUAUUUUUGUUGUUAAACUAUGUUUAUGCUAUUUAUGUUUACCAAACACUUAACUUUUAAUCCAUAGUUAUUUUGUCAUAAUAUGUGAUUCAAUGUGUGUAUGCUUGUAUACUUGUUUUUUUUUUAGGUCUCUUCCUUUUUGCUAAUGACAAAGGGGGAGAAGACUUGUUUCUCUAAUGGUUUUCUAUGCAGAAUUAUUGUAUGCCUCUCAUUUAGGGGGAGUUCUUAAAUUUAGGGGGAGAAUCAACUUAGAGAAACUUCACUUUCAUGCAUCUAUUUNAGACGUUACGUUGUUUGAAUCGUGGGACAGCCAAGUCACAUAAAGAACGGACUGCCAAAACUUGCAAACGAAAAGGAGGAUCUCAAAGGCAAAAGGGAAUUCAAAAAACAAAGCUCUACGUCGCUUGGGACGCUAAUAAGAUCCGUUCAAUUCUCUCCGGAAUCGCAGAAAGAAGCCAUGAGAUGUCAGCGAAACAUGACUCACUUCAUGGACUUCACAUCCACUCCGCGAUGAAAGAACUCAGAGAGAGGAAGUAGCAUAUUUUCACAGACUUCUAACUGACAAUUGCAUGCCAACGAUGUUAAAUAAUGAAAACUCUCUAAGCACAGAACACUGCAAAGACCGAAUGUUAUAAAUAUUAUCAAUCCAAAAGAACCACAAUUGUUCACAUCCUUAGAAGAAAAAAAUACUCGCCUCCUGGAAAAUAUAUUGAAGUGGAAACACAAGUUGAUGGAUGAACAAACCCAAGAGUCUUGCAUGUAAGAAUUGUGAACUCUUUACUACUUUCAAAUUGUUCACUACAAAGAGUUUCGAAAUAUGAAAAGGCCCCAAUUGGGUUGGAAAAUUCUUCUUAACACAAGGAUAUUUCAAUGACAAGAGUGCUUAAAGACCUUUCUAACUAUUUCUAACCAGACACAAUAAGACCAUUUUUGUUUAAGCAAAGAUGCAACAUUGCCAAGGGCGCAAAGUUACCAACAAUUCUCAAAUUAAUGCAUCAAAGAUCACUAAAGAAAUAUGCUCAAGCAGAAGACAGAUUAAUGUUCCCUAGAUAUAGACAGUAUUUUCCAAGCCUAUUGCUUUCUAAUGUGAAAUCAAAGGGCACACCUAAUGCUUAGUUAUGUGCGAACGCCGUCUGCGUAUCAACAGCAGGAAUAUGUAGUGGGUUAAAAGAGUAUACUACACAAGGACCCAAAAGCAACCUAUGGGUACCUACCCACAAAACACUUGAUUUUGUAUUUCGUAGGUAUGCUGAAGCACUCGAAUCCAAUGGAUAUCUUUCGAUACGCGGUUGUUCAGCACUAUGCGAGCGACAUCGGACAAUUCUUCCACUAUCUUUAAGCAAAGGAUUAUUACAUUCACGGUACGAUGACACAAGGCAGCAUCUUCGGACGUAGGAACCCAUUGGAGCAACUCCUGUUGACCUCAUCGAGAAUGACACCUGUAUGUGAAGGCCUAACCACAAUUUACUCAAGCUAUAGUUCAAUUGUGUGACCAAAGAGGUUCGAAUCAAUUCUCACAAAAGAUGAAUGGUGAACUAGAGACAUGAAGUCACACUCAUGAAAUCCCUUGACUCAAAAGGCUCAAAAGGCGAUUAAUAUACUUUUAUGACUUCUUUUGAUGAUUCUUCACUUGAGGCUAAUGCACCUAUAGAACGAACCCAACCGGCUUUGGCCGGCUAUGGCAUAAAGAUCGCUCUUCACACAUGGAGCACCUGACAACUUAAUAACAGGAUCUUGUCGUCUGGUCUUCCAAAGAUAUAAGUUCAUCCAAGGAAGUUGCAAACCUGUGACACCUGCCAAAGGGCAAAGGCAAACCAGCACGCACUUUCAAAAUCCCAAGAUGUUGUGUCCCUUCCGCGUACAACGACGGCACUUCACUCUUGCACAUGGAAUCCUACUUCGGUCAUCAGAACGAAAAAGUCUCGCGGACCGUAAAAUGUUAGAACGGAUCUAGAAGGUAAUUGUUGCAUGACUUCUCUAGAUUACGUGCGACUUUGUUUCUUGUGCCACGCAACAAGCGCGUUUGCUCUUCAGGCGUUCAAAAAAUAUGCAAAACAAAUUCACGCACAUGAGAAGUCUCUUUCAUAUUUCCAUUAUAGAAGCUGACCACGGGAGAAUUUCAAAAACAUUCUCUUGAAAAUUUUUGCGAAGCACGAAUUUAUCAUAUAUCCGCACCACGAACAACACAACCAACAACCCGGUGUCGUAAGAGAGCAAAGACAUAGUCCUUGGGCGAACUCGACAAAGAACAGAUGCUCCAGUGACUCCAACCUUCCCUAAAUUUUCGUGGGCGAGCACCGCAACGCUUACGCAAGCUGCUUUGUCUAGCAACGUUGUUUCACAUUCGAACCGAUUCUCAAAAACUCCGUAUGAGCCUUUUCAAGGAAGGCACCUCAAUAUAUCAACUUCUUUUCACAUCUUGAGGUGCACCACUGUCAGCUUUGUCACUCAACAUUGGAAGGACAAUUUCGUAAGUUUCGAUGAGAAUCGCGCCGAAGGUAGCUUCCUUGAAGCAUACUCCCUUUAUCAGGCUUCUUAGGAAUUUUCUAAAAGAAAUUUACUAUAAGAUCAACGAUGUAUGUCUUUGAUCAACUUACCUCGAAAGAGGCAUAACCUUGUUGUUGAUGACACAUGAUGGACAUAAAGAGGCUAUCAAAGGGAACUGCAUCAAAUGUUCAACUCCAUUCUACAAGGAGGGGGAAGGCGGAUCACAAUCAUUGAGAUUCCAUGCUCUACCGAAGAGUAGGAGACUCAUAGAGAUCACCCAUUGAUAAAGUUUAAUUAGUGCAUAUUAGCAAGGCGUCCUCUGCAACACGACUCAGAAUCUCACAAGUGCUUGUCUCACACAUGGCUUUGUGUCUAAAUAAACCACCAAAGGUCGAUUGAGCAUUAGGCGACCAUCACAUGCGAUUAGUAGCAAUGCAAGAAGAAUCACAAUUCGAAAGAAACUCAGUUUGCGUAUCCGUUACCAACGACCAAGACAACCAGACAUCAUUGAACAGAUGCGUCGUCAAGACAACUUGCAUUUCGAGGUUCAUAGGGAACACAACCAAAACCAAACGGGGGAACAUAUGGACUAUGUUACGGUUACAAAGCGAGAUUCGGUCGCACAAGCUACAACAGACGAAGGAAAUUGAUUUUGAUGAGAACCGUUCGUCAACCAGGUAGCAAAGUUAGAGGCAAGGUCGAUUUUACUUCUGUUUGCAUUGGUUUAUGCAACUUUCAAUUGUUUUCGAUGAUGUCAGAGCGCUUCCUAAUGGCAAUAUAUCAUGCAGAAGUGCUACGUCAAACACCUCCGGGUUUGACCGACUUCAGAACCUUCCAUGUUUUACGUUUGAGAAAGCACUAUAUGGUUUAAAGCAAGCACCCGAGAGCGUCGGAUAUGAACCGCGACUCAGCAAAACUUUCUAUUGCAAGGGAGUUUGGUAAAGGAAAGCGUUGACAAGUUUGAUUUACAUAAGGAUCAAGGGUAAACUUAUUGGCGCAGUCUAUGUCGACGCAUCAUUCUUCGGUUCACCAAAUAAAGAUUCUUUGCGAAGAGUUUUUUCACCAAUGAUUGCAAGGAGCAAUUCGAGAAUGUCCAAUGACUGGGAAAUUGCAACUAUCUUUCGUGGACUACAAAAUCAGCAAACAGGGUGCCAUCUUCAUCACCAUCAAGUAUGCAAGGAAUUAUUUGAAAGAUUCGAUAUGGUAGUAUGCCAUGUAUGUCCACUCCUAGGGAUCCGGAACGUACGUUUGAUCAAGCUGAAUCCGGAAUGUCAAUGAUAUACCAAUAUCCGAGGUAUAUUGGUUUCAUACUAUAUUUUGCGCAGUGGACCUGACCUAUAUGUUUAGUGCUAAAUGUUUGUGUGCACGCUUUCAAGCACAACCCGAAGGAUCGCAUCUCCACGCCGUGAGGAUUAUGAAAUAUAUCACAAGGGAACACACGAACGUGGGAUAUGGUAUCCAAAGGUUAGUAGUAUGCUCUUGAUUGGUUAUUUUGCAUGUGCGUAUGCGCCUUAAAGACCGAUCGAAAGCAGUAGGACCUGUCACAUAUUCGAAUGCACUAGUGUCCGUGGGCAUGCAAGAGCAGAUGUGUCGAUUAGCCGGCCGAAGAGACACAGUGAGCAGCAGUGGAUUGUGCCACAAUCUCUUCCUGGCAUCACGCACACACUUCUGGAUCUUUGUUAGCUCGCUGCGAUUCUCUUCGAAUGCCGAUAACACAAGUGCUAUCACUCCAAGAACCGGUCUGACUUCAAGACGGAGCAAUACAGCUUCCGACAUUCAUUUCCCUCCAGAUCGUGCUUAACGGAGUGUAGAGUUACGUCUGGAUACACCUACAACUCAAGCUGACAUAUUCCAAACACAUUGCGCUAAGCAGCAAUUCUUCAGGAUUCCUCCGAGAUUGGAUUACUCAUGAAGGUGCAUCUAACUUGCUUCAAAUUACUUGUUAUGUGGCAUAGUUGCCUAAAAAUGUGUUUUCUUCAGUUCUUUAGUUUAUGCUGCUACAGCAUUCUUUUUCGCGUUUUCCGUUUUCUUACUUUGCAUGAUACCAAAUAUUAUCGUUUAAACAUAUGUUUAACUCGAAGGUUGCGUUUGAUAAGUGCGAACACUGUGUGCAAAAUUUUGCAAAGAUCUUCGAUUUCACACGGAGCUGCUGUUUUUUUUCUACUGUUUUGACAAUAUUCGUCGGUUACGGUUACGGUAUUAGGCAGCCGCAGUUAACACCUCCAUCCCACAACAACUCUGUUCUUCGUUUUAACGGAAAUUUUUAAAUUAUUGUUUUAAUUUUCUGUUGUGUGAUUUAUGUUAAUGCCAUGUGCCUUUACUAUUCCCUUCUCCUUCAUAACUCUCUCCUCCCUUCAUUACUCUCCAUAACCCUUCAUUCUUUAUUUCACCUUCAUACAACUUUCAAACCCCUUUUCGAAAUCCAUCUCAUAAACCCUAGAAUCUUCAUUUUUCUGGCUCACAAGUGGGACAAGGCUCCUGUAUCUUUCAUCUUCCAGCAGUGAAUGAGGAGAGUUGAAUGGAAACGCCAGAAAGCGAGGAUGGAUUCAAAGUCAGAGGUGGAUCUGUUAAAGCGGUAAGUAUGUUGAAUCUCAAUACCAUUCAUACUUUUUUCACUGAGUUGAUUGAGAAUCUCAAGAUGUGCCAUGAGUUUAACUGAUAAUGGGAAAUUUCAGCUGUUUGUAAAAUCUUUUCUGAACCAUUUUACUUUAAAUUGAAAUGUAUGAUGAACUACACAUGCUGUCGGCACCUGUAAGAGACUCGUGGAAAUUGUACAGACCUAAAAGGACGUUGGCUUUGGCGGGGCGGGCUUUUAUUCUCUAUUAGAUUCCAUAUUCAGGCUACGUUUCCUUCAGGAAGUGUUAUCGUGAUGGGAAAUGGGCUCAGUAUGGUAAGAGGGAUAUAACUACUCUAUCUGCGAUUCCAGGGCAAGGUUGUUACUGUCGGGAAACGCACUUCUCGCCCACUCUGCAUAUGGCUUAGAAUUCUGUCGGAUUGCACGCAUGAAUAUGCGUGGCAUUUAUGUUAUCUGCCAUGUCCUGCUCGCCCAAGGUUCAACCUGUCUCAUCAAUUGUUUGGAUUGCAAGUUCUGUUUAGCAGUGAGAACACGAACUCCGGACGUUACAUAGGCUGCCACUAUGAAUCGUUUAUCUGAGACAGCACUUUCUCUCUCCAAACAAGCUUGCAUCGUCGCCUUAUCUUCAGGAUUUGUGGAACUCACAGCAUAUGGGAAAUCGGGGAGAGAAGUUUCUUCGAUUCAUGACCACUAAACCGCAAUGACAGCACAGGCGGCUUACAUCAUGAAAUACUGAAUUAUUCACAGCAACGACAGGCUCCUACAAAUAUGAUGACUGGGUCCUCCUCUUCAACUUCCCUAUUUCCGCAGUGGCCCAUGACCAAAUGCAGUUAUCAUCUUACUACCAAUCAUGAGCCACACGUGAAACCACCCGUGCUAUCAGCAGUCUUCGGCAGCUAAUGAUGAGUUCCGCAACCUUCACUGGGUGAGUGCUAUAGGUGAGAGACGUUAGUGAAAGCGAGGGAUGCGCGGAGGAUGAGGCGGUCUCGUAGAAAGCAUAGAGACACUAUGUUUUUUCUCUUCUUGUUUCUAGUUAUAUGUUCAGUUCUUAAUAAUUUUAUGUAUGUAUACUAUGUUCUAUGCUAAUUUAUGUUUACCAACACUUAACCCUUUUACAUCCAUAGUAUAUUUGGUAACAUAAUAGUGAUUCAAAAUCGUGAUGUAUGCUCUAAUACUAUUGUUUUUUCUUUUAAACGUCUUUCGUUAUUUGCUAAUGACACCAACGAGGAAAGACUGUCUUCUCUCAUGCGUUUCUAUGCAACAAUUAAUUGUAAUGCCUCUCACUUUCAGGGGAGCAAGUUUAAAUUUAGGGAGAGAAUCAAACUUAGCAGAACUUCGCUUUCAUAGAGCACUCUAUUUUCAAAGUGCAGGGGUAUCAUCAAAGGGGAGAUUGUAGAAGCAAGCUUCAAAUCAAAGAUUAUUUUGAUGGAGACACUUGAUCAAUGCAAAGGAGAUGAGCUUACAAAGUUAUUUCAAGCAUCAGUUUCAAGCGCUAUGCUUUUGUCAGCCUUCAUUUUCAAGUCACGUUUAGCAGCUUGUUGAUUCAUUUUCUGGUUAUCUAACUCACUUUUGAAUAGAAUUAGCAUAGUGUUCCAAACCAUGAUCUGAACUUUGCAUCUUUUACAACUAACAUUGUUACACCUCUGAAUGCACGAACAUUUAUUUUUAGUUAUUCUGCAAUCAUUACCGUGCUAACGGUUAACCUAUGGGGUUAACCGGUUAACGCCAGUUUUUUCAAAUUCUUUGUUAAUGUUUGCACUGCAGUUCGACGUUAACCCUAUGGUGUACGCUGUACAUGUCGUGUACCUGCAAAUCCAUGUUUUGAACUUAGUAUCUUUUUCAAUGGUCAUGAGGGAAUGAUACUCUUUGAAGGAUUUGUUGUGGCAUUAAUUAUAAUUUUUCACAUGAUAAUUUGACGUCAGACAUUUUCAUACAACUCUCAAUAUAAUCUCUCAUGCAUAUUUCCUUCCGUAUCAUAACAUUUUUGGAAGGUUCAUAUAAAAUUGUCAUCUCAUUCUUUGUUGAACACUUGACUAUAUUCUUUUGAGCGUGACUUAUUUAUCUAGGGCAUAUCAGAGAGGAUUGAUAAACUACAUCUUUGGAUAAAUCAUUUAGAUUACUUUAUGUUUGACUUUGUUGCAUGGAUUUGUUGGCACAAGGGUUGUGUCGUUUGAAGAGACUUGUGGUCUCAACGUUGUUUGUUAAUAGGUUAGAUGCUAGGCAUCCAGACGUUUGUGUGAUAGGGCUGUUACCAUUACUCUACUAUAGUUGAUUUCUCUUUCGUGUGAAAGGGAGUGGAUGUACUUCGAUUGUGAGGACACACUAUAAUUAUUCCGGUGUCGUUACUUUCCGACAUUUUUAUUUUUCCGCACUUUAACAAAAAUCAAACGGAAAGUAGCUCGAAGAAUCAUUUUCAUCACCUACAUUCACCCCGCCCCCCCCCCUCUUAGGCGCAUUUACAACUUACAGUAUAUUGUUGAAUAAAACCUUGCUGAUGAUGUAAGGCAUUGUUUCAAAUCCCAAACACCAAAGAUAUAAGGAAGAUAAUCCCUAGUCAACCCCUUCGAGCCAAGGAGUAGGAGUUUCUUUCUAAAUAUGAAACCCUUAAUUUUAAACCGGGGCAGGGUAGUCGUCAGUUAGUUUGACCAUGCGUUCAAAUUCCAAAGAUAAAAAGAGGAGUGUCAUAUCUGAGGAUCGACCAUAUCUUAUCCCUCACAAGAGGUCGGAAACCCCCAAAUUCCAAAUGGUUGUCCCUCACCAACAAAGGAAUGAGGCAGUCAUAACCCUUCCCAAUCAAACGGCAAAAUGCCACAUGAAUUGUUUCAACAAAAGAAACAAGAAAAAAAAAAGCCCGCUAAUUCAAAAACUUGAAAAUGAGUGACUUAGGAAAAAGUUAGGGCACCCCUGUGGAUUGUAAAUCUGAACCAAUCCAGCAAAAAUAGGGAAAUGAAAAAAUGAAACAGAAUGAGGAAUCAAAAGAGGAUCCUCAACAAGAACAAAUUAGUGUGGCUAUAAACCAAAUAGAAGGUGCAUGAUUGCCACUCCAAAAAGAAAAAACCUCGUAGGUUCCUUUUCACUCCCAAAUCCCUUUUGGAAUAAGAGAGCUUGUAUCAAACUAGCUGAACGUAGGACUGGAGAACAUCAAGAAGAGUGGGUGGGUUAGGAUAGGUUUGAGUCUUACAUCCUUUCUUUCUGAAACCGUGAACCAUACCACUUUACAACCCUCAAAAGACCUAAUUGAAGCAAGGUUUAUUUCUAAAGCAUACCAUGGUUAGAAUAACCGUGUUAAAAUUGACUCCUUAAUGAUUUGUUCAUCAUUUAUGUUGAUAUUGAUAUGACAUUCUUAAUCAGUGAUGCAUUCAUUGUAUGUCAUAAUUCCAGUGAACACGCUUGGAUUUCAAAACUAGCAUAAACAUGACAUUGCUAUUAUCAUUUCCAAAAAUGAACAUGUGUUACUCAUGAGUGAGCAUCUGAUGUCAAGAGAGUUUUCAUAAUGAACGUGAAUUGGAAAGCUUGAUACCACCAAAAAAGAAGGAUGCCUAAAAGACUUUGUUAAGUAGAGGCAAAUUAUUUCAACUGAUUGAAUCAUAAGACAGAACACCUGAGAACCCCAUUCAGAAGAGACAGGUUACCUUGAUUCGAUCGUACUCAGAGAGAUAAACACCUAAGACGCUGUUGAGCAGCACCAAAUUAUUUUGAUUGAUGACAAUGAGUGUUGAAAGCCUGAGACUCCGUUGAUUAACAAUCGGUCACUUCUUUUGAUUAUAUCAAGGAGCAAAAUGUCCAAGGAACUCCGUUGAGCAGAAGGACAAGAUGUUUCAUAUUUCAAUCAAUCUGAGACAGUUACGUCAAGAAAUUUCAACAAGACUCAGUUAGUCUGAGAAAGUUAUGUCGAGAUUCAGUGAAUCUUUCCAAAGAUCAGAUAGUCAGGGGGUAAACUAUCCCAGUUGAUCGCAUCAGAAGACUAAACACCUAAGAACUCCGCCGAGCAGGGGAAAAUUGUUUUGAUUGAUCCUAUCAAGUGUUGAACGCCUGAGAUUCCACUGAGCAACGACCAGUCACGUCAUGUGAUUACAUCAAGAAGCAGAAUGUCUAAGAACUCUGUUAAGUAGAAAGAUAAGACACUUCAAUUUUCGGUCAAUCUGAAGCAAUCACGUCAAUAAAUCUCUAUAAGAUUCAGUUGAUCUAAGGAAGUUACGUUGAGAUUCAAAAAAUCUCUACAAGACAUUAGUUAAGGGCAUUCCCUCAGAGAUAUUCUAGCCAGGGGAAAAUUUAUUCCAAAACCUAUACUGGGGAAAGUUACCUCAGGAACCCAAGAAGUCAAUCUUCCGAGAUAGUUAAUCAAAGAUAUACAGUUCCAAGAAACUGGGGCAGGUCAGAUCGAGAUAGUUAUUAUGACAAAGCUGCUUUACAACUUAUUAUUGGGGCAAUACAUGCAGAUUCCCACUUGACUGGGGCAUGAAUGGCUAGAGAAGAAAGAUUCUUUAUAUACUUUUGAGGCUGUUCAGAGCAAGAUCUAUGGUGCAUAAGAGACUUCUAAGUUCGAGAUGAAUGUUGGGGAGUCACGCUAAACACAUCCCCUAACCUUUCAACAGAGAACCAUGAUCAUAAAUGAUAAACCCAAUGGUUAUUGGUACCCUGUGUUCUUAAUCUCCAGAUAUUUCCUACCAUACCGUCUAACCAAAAUCCUGACCAUGCAUCAACAUCUGGCAUAAGUAAUCAUGCAUUACAUAACAUUGCAUCAUAAAGCGCGUAGCAUAUUCCAUCAAGAUGGAGCAUUACCCCUUGCAAAAUAAACAUGCAUAUCUGCAUAAAAGUCCUUCUCGAAAGUGUAAAAGAAUCCUCUGAUAAGAUAUUCUUCCUCCCCAGUUGAGAACAUCGUCAUGAAACUUGGGAUUGGUAUUCCCCACAGGUUUCUCGAAGUCUCUCCUUUGCAAAUACCUUAGGAAUCUUCAAUCAGUCGUUUACCUUUCGUAAGUGAUCCCCUACCUUUUUCCUGGGAGGUCCUCUUUCCUUCUUUUAAUACUCUUUCGUAUUGAUUUGCAACACUCGUCCGUGUUAAUCAUCUCUUUUUCAAUACUCGUCCGUAUUGAUCUUCAACACUCGUUUGUGUUAAUCGUUUCAUUUUCGAUACUCAUCCGUAUUGAUCUCCAACACUCGUCCAUGUUGUUACAUUCCUUCAAUACCCGUUUGUAUUGAUCUUCAACACUCGUCCGUGUUAAUCAUUUCAUUUUCGAUACUCGUCUGUAUUGACCUCCAACACUCGUCUAUGUUGAUACCUUCUUUUUCAAUACUCGUCCGUAUUAAUCUUCAACACUCGUCCGCGUUAAUCAUUUAUUUUUCAAUACUCGUCCGUAUUAAUCUUCAACGCUCGUUCGUGUUGUUACUUUCUUUCAAUACUCAUCCGUAUUGGUUUGCAACACUCGUCUGUGUUAAUCAUCUCAUUUUCAAUACUCGUCCGUAUUGAUCUUCAACACUCGUAUGUGUUAAUCAUCUCAUUUUUAAUACUCGUCCGUAUUGAUCUCCAACACUCGUCCAUGUUGUUACCUUCUUUCAAUACUCAUCUGUAUUGACUUGUAACACUCGUCCGUGUUAAUCAUCUCUAUUUCAAUAGUCUUCCGUAUUGAUCGUCAACACUCAUUCGUGUUAAUCAUUCCUUCUUUCAAUACUCGUUCGUAUUGACCCUUAACACUCAUCCGUGUUAAUCAUUACUUCUUCCAAUACCCGUCCGUAUUGAUUUUAAUACUCGUUCGUAUUGAUUUUUAAUACUCGUCCGUAUUGAUUUGCAAUACUCGUCCGUAUUGAGCAUCCACACUCGUCCGUGUUGGUCCUUUGUCAAUACUCGUCAGUAUUGACCUCUAACACCCGUCCGUGUUGAUCUCUUUUACUCGUUUGUAUUGACCUCCAACACCCGUCCGUGUUAAUCAUUUCUUUUUCAAUACUCGUCCAUAUUGAUCUUCGACACUCGUCCAUGUUAAUCAUUUCUUUUUCAAUACUCGUCUGUAUUGGUCUUCAACACUCGUCCGUGUUGUUAAUCAUUUCUUUUUCAAUACUCGUCUGUAUUGAUCUUUGACACUCGUCCGUGUUAAUCAUUUCUUUUUCAAUACUUGUUUGUAUUGAUCUUCAACACUCGUCCGUGUUGUUACCUUUCUUUUUCAAUACUCGUCCGUAUCGAUCUUCGACACUCGUCCGUGUUAAUCAUUUCUUUUUCAAUACUCGUCUGUAUUGAUCUUUAACACUCGUCAGUGUUAAUACCUUCUUUUUCAAUACCUGUCCGUAUUGAUCUUCAACACUCGUCCGUGUUAAUCAUUUAUUUUUCAAUACCCGCCCAUAUUGAUCUUCAACACUCGUCCGUGUUAAUCAUUUCUUUUUCAAUACUCGUUCGUAUUGAUCUGCAACACUCGUCCGUGUUAAUCCUUCCAUUUUCAAUGCUCGUCCAUAUUGAUAUUCGAAACUCGUCCGUGUUAAUCUUUUCUUUUUUGAUACUCAUGCGUAUUGAUGUUCAACGCUCGUUCGUGUUGUUACCUUUUCCUUCGAUACUCGUUCGUGUUGAUCUUCAACAUUCGUCCGUGUUGUCACCUUUCAAUACUCGUCCGUAUUGAUCUCUAACACUCGUCCUUGUUAAUCAUUUCAUUUUCAAUACUUGUCCAUAUUGAUCUCCAACACUCGUCCGUGUUGUUACCUUUUUCCAAUACUCGUCCGUAUUGAUCUGCAACACUCAUCCGUGUUGGCCCUUCCUUUCUGACAUUCACCCGUGUUGAUACCUCAUUUUGAUACUCGUCCGUAUUGGAUUGAUUCACUCGUCCGUGUUAAUCCUCUUUGCAAUACUCGUCCGCAUUGACCUCAACGCUCGUCCGUGUUACUAAACCCCACUUGGUAUUCGUUUGUAGCGGCAUCCAUCAGUCGUAUGUGUGGACCUUACCCUCUUUCUUAACCUUUUGUUCAAAAGACCUCUUUUCCAAUACAGAGGAGCCGCUGCUACCUAUUGUGCGAGAAAAUCGUAUAUCCCCAGCCAACACUUUAUUUGCCUCUGUGAAAUCCUGUGGGAAUACCUCGAUCACCUGUUACAUGCCAAAACAUGACAGGGGAGGCAAGAAAAGAAUGAAAAAGAGAUGAAAACAGAAAAUGAAAAAAGAAAGAAUAAGAAAAAAGAAGAAGCUAAGAGAAAGACGAAAAAAAUAAUCAAUCAUCAAUCAUGCUGCAUUAGCAUAUUGCAUACGUCAUGCAUAUCUAACCUCUCAUUACCCAUCUACCACAUGACAUUCCAAUUCCCAUCAGCUUCCCUGCACAAAGACCUACUUGUUCAUCCCAAAUCCCAGUGAAGGAGUUCUUUGUGACCUAUCUUCACACUUCAUUUGUUCCUGGCGGGAAAAUUUCCUUAUAUUCUAGUAUUUAAUACUCUCAUACCUUCAUUGUCCAAACACCGUUGUUAUCCGUACAUUCAGGUUCGAGAAGAUUAAAUAGGGGCAGCUGUCAUACCCCAAAAUUUGCCUUACCCUUCACAAAGUUCAUUUAGGUCACUAACCCUAGUCAUAUGCAUGUCUUUAUAUCAUUCAUUUCAUCUGCAUAGCCAUUUGUAUGAUACAAAAGGGCAGGUAUCUUAGAUUCUGAGCUUUGUGCUUACACUUGGUGGAAGCUAAGUCUCCUAUACGGAUGAAGGGGGCUUAAUCGAUCAAACCCUAAUCGGAGGUGGCUCUUGAGGUUUAGGUGUAUUCCUAUCAUUGGUAACUCAACUUUGGCUAAGUGGUGAAGCAAAACCCUAAUCUUGGGAUCCUCACUUGAUCAUGGUUUCCACGAACUCUAAUGGUAUACAACGCUCUAUAGAUGGUCUCCAAAACCCUAUCUAUUGGGUCUUUCAUCAUUCCAUUGAGUGUGCCUUUCUCAACAACCUCCUGGUCAGGAGUCGUGCAUGUUGGUUUCUUGGGUUUGAUUCCAUAUAUCACUUGUUUCAAUGUGCAUCUCGUGCUUGUCCGUACCCGGUCAUCCGAUCAUUUGGUCAUUGAACAUUUAAUUUGUAUUCCUUUGUUUCAUUUGGGGUCUUAGUUGAUAUUUAAUUCAUAGGUUGUGUAUGGAUUUUAUCCCGUUAUAUGUCUCGAUUCAUUCCAUUUCAAGUAACCUAGUCAUUUCUUAAGUCAAUUUGCUCAACUAGCCAAUUUCAUUCAUGUUCGUCCAUAAAGAUAGUCAUUACAUUCAAAAAAGGUGCAAAACGAUGUAUAACGUAUUGCAAAACCCAUUUUUGGAAGUUUUCGUUCUGUGAGUCGACACAACACCCACGAGUACGAACAGGUCGACCCACAGAUCGACCUAGUCCUGGGGAAUUUGUAUGCGUUGACUCAUCCAGGCUUUGCAUUGACUCAUUCCUCAUUCUUCUAUAAACCAAUUCACCGCGGGUCCGAGCAGGUCGACUCAUUUCUGGGGAAUCUGGUGUGCAUCGACUCAUCCACCCUUUGCAUCGACUCACUUAUCAUUCUUCUGUGAACCAAUUCGUCGUUGGUCCGAACAGGUCGACCUGGAGCUCGACUCAUCCUGGAGAAUGCUCUAUUUAAGUCGACUCAUCCCCUAUUUGAGUCGACUCAACCUGUUUCUUGCUGCUGAAAUACUGCAAAAUGCAAAUUCUUGCCAUGCCCGCACAAUCACAUUGAUUCACACUCUGCAUUAACUCACAAUUGUGAGUUACUCCAAUAAAUAGCAGGUCAUUAGCCAACAUUAAAGCUUAAUUUCAUUCAAGUUAACCUGCAAUAACCAGUCAUAGAAACCAUUUGAACACAUUCCCCAAAACCAACCAACUAACUUCCAACUUAGUGAGUUAACCGACAAAACUCAUUGAGUUCAUCCCAACUAACUCCCAACCUCUUUUAACUAACUCCAAGCCUUAGGGAUCCCAAGCCUAAUCCCUAUAAAUUCCCAUCUUCACCAUCAUUUGAAGGUCUCUCCACUAUUCACUUCAACUUUCACUACUUUCACAUUUUCUGCAAACAUCACCUUCAACCUUUCUCACUUCAUCUUCCCUAUUUCUUCACCCUACACCAAAGCUCAAACUACCAUUGGAGCAAGCUUCACAUUGAAGCUUGUUAUCAAUUGAGGUAAAACUCUUGUACUCAACAAUCACCCCUGCACUCACCGACUCAACAUCGAUAAUAACGAUCCGGUUCAGAAUUUUUUUGGAGUUGAUUCUUGAAGGAUAAGAGUUCACAGUAGAAGCGGGAGAUCCAAGGUUCAACGUAGCAUACAUCUGUUUUUCUCCUCUUCAUCUUCAUCACUCCCGAAUUUCAACAAGUCCCAAGACAAUCCUCCGUCUUGCAGGUUGGUGAAUCUUUAUCUCUGUCUAACCGUUGAUAUCACCAUGUAGCUUGCAUAGGGGAGAAUCAAAACCCCAAGGUUCGGUGGUUUGAUUCUUCGUCACCUCCAUCUUCAUUAGCUCUAAGAUUUUUUUGCUUAGGAUUCUUGAUGUUAACUGCUUAAUUUCCUGAAUUUGUUGAGCUGUAAUUAAGAUAAAGAUUAGGAUAUGAGAGUUGGAGAUAAGUAAGAAUUUGGAGCCUUUUUCCUUGAAUCCGGCCAACUCCGCCGCCUCUGGCGCGGUGGUGCCGGAACUCCGGUGGUGGUUCUGUUUUACCUUUAUGUUGGGAUUGUUUGACUGGUCCAAGGAGUGUUCACUUCAUACCAUUCAUUGCCAUGUGUAACAUUAACAUGCAUGUUGAUAAAAAAAAUCGUAUUCAUUAUUGGUGGUGAAUUCUUGCUAACUGUGUUGUUUAAGCCUUAGGCUAAGCUACUGUUCAUCUUGAUCACGAUAGCCUCGUAAUUGAUUAGUCGAUUCUAAUUCCAAUUCUAUUCUCGUAAUUGUGUAUGAAAUAGUUUUUAAUUCCUGUUUUUGGGAUUUUGGAGUCACAUAAUUGUAGAGGUAAAUAGCUUAAUUCAUGUUCAAUUAAAUAUUAAGAUUAGGUAAUUAGUUAGGAAUUAGGCUUAAUCAUGUGCAUGUUAGACUAAUUUCUUAAUUUUUCCAAAUAUUGUUUUCACAUGAUCAACCAUUAUAGGCUUAGAAUUUCAUUUGGUUUACGAUGCUAAUUUCCAUGUACAUGAGUAAUCUCACUUUGACUAGAUUACGUUUCAUUUGUGGUUAAGGGCUGAACUGAAAAAUCCAUUUCAUUUUAAGUUCAUAUAGGUUUGUUCAUCAUGAUCAUCAUAUCACACCAUGCUAUUAUCAUACCCUCCCAUUCAUUUGAAUCGGAAUUUUAAUUCCUUCUUAUUUGAUGCAUACUAACCGGUGUUGUUUUGUGGCGACAUGCGAAUAAGAGAUCUCAACACUAUCCAAGUCCCUUUUAUUUUUAUUCGUUAGUUUGUAGUAUGCGAAGUGUCAUGCAACUUGUAUGGUUUAGGCAUGGCACAUGAGUUGUAAAUUGUAUUUUCCUUUCAUGCCUUCAUGUUGUAUUAUGUGGAUCCAUCCCCCCAUUAUGGGUUAAAUGUCCCUCUCCCCCUAGUCAUGUAAUAUCUUAGAUUUACUGCUUUCUAGUUACUUCACCAGGCAUGUUAAUAACCAAGAUAAAAUACAAAACGAUAAACAAAGCAUUUUCGAAAGAAACAAAAGGUACUUGAUUCAACGUCAAGUUUUUUUUUCCGAAUAAAACUCACACCAUUGCAACGCAAACACUCGAUUUGACGCCAAGUAUUCCCCACCCUUUCUUUCCCAUCUUAUCUCCUCAAUCGACCACUAUUUCAAAAUCAAUAAGCAAACCCUUGAUCCAACGUCAAACGGUCCUUUUUCAAAUCAAAUUCAAAAACACAAUAAAUACGAUUAGGAUUGUAUGCCACGAGCCUUAAGUGGUAAAGAAGAGAUGAGAAUGGAACUUUCCUACACUCGUUCUAAAUAGUUCGAACACAAGACGUUUGGCUUGGUAGUUUGAGGUAUUCACCUUUAUCCAUAGUCUUUAGUUCAAUCCGAAAUCAAUAACACUUUCGCAAAACAUAAACACAAUCCAACGCAUUCAAACCUUUUGUUUGAGCCUUAGGGCGACAGAAUCGAAAACCCUUCUUCAAGGUAAUAAAAAUCAACCAACCAAACAAACAUUUUAAACCCACGAACUACGGGGCUCUGAUUUCUCACUUCAACAAGUGGGCAUGCGUAGGCACAAGGAUCCAAAUCCUUGGAGAGCACACAUUUAAAAUCUACCUCCACUCCGCAAACCUUUGGUAAGCAAAGAUUCGAUAAACAACAUCUACGUAAGCGUAAACAUUCAAUAAACAACAUCCAUGUAAGCGCAAACACCCUAGAUGGUUCCUAUGGAGUACCAUAGAUGUAAGGGGUGCUAAUACCUUCCCCUUGCAUAACCGACUUCCAAACUUGUUCGUGGUUGCGAUGACCAUUCUUUGGGGUUUUCUCGAUAUUUUCCCUUUCCUUUGGAAUAAAUAAAAACCGAUGGCGACUCUGUAUUUUUCGCGUAGCGACAAGGGUCAAAUCAGAUAACCACUUCUUUACAAGAUGACCAAGUAAAUGAAGUGGCACAAACUCAGAAGAUGGGAUGGUCAACAAGGGCUAAAACUCAAUCAAUUAGGUUAAUUGACUAUGAAUGAUUUUGUGACCAAACCAUAAAUGAAAAUGGUAACGUGAUUGAAGAAGUAAUGAUAACUGAAUGUGAGCCAAUUAACCUCAAUCAAGACCUGAAAGACAAAAAUUGGCAAGAAGUUAAGAAGGAAGAAGUCAAGGAAAUUUUGGAGUUGGUAAACAACUCAAGCAAGAGAACCAUAGAUGUAAAAUGGGUCCAUAAGCUGAAGCUCAUACCAAAUGGUGAGAUAGCCAAGUAUAAGGUAAGGCUAGUAGCAAAGAGGUUUCUUCAAAGGUCAGGAAUUGAUUUUAGUGAGGUCUAUGCACCAUUUUCCAGACUUGAAACUAUAAAAGUUGUGGUGGCCAUUGCAACAUCCAAAAGGUGUAAGAUACAUCAAUUGGAUGUAAAGUCAUCUUUUCUAAAUGGGCCAUUAGAGAAUGGUGUAUAUAUAAAACAACCAAUUGGUUUGAGAUCAAAGGAAAAUAAGAAAAAUUGUAUAUGAUGAUAAAAGUACUAUAUGAAGUGAUAACUUUUACAUGAAUUUAGGAUUCAACAAAUGCACAUUAGAACCUGGAAUAUAUGCGAAAGGCUCAAGUGAAUAAGAUCAAAUAAUUCUAUGCAUAUAUGUGGAUGAUAUCUUGAUAAAAUUAUCAAAUUAAAUUGAAGUUUCAAAGUUCAAGACUAACAUGGAGAAUGAAUUUGAGAUGUCAUAACUAGGAAACAUGGCUUAUUUUCUAGGUAUGGAGUUUGUAAACAUAAAAUAUUGAUUUUUCUUGUACCUAAAGAAAUAUGUAGAAGAUAUCUUGGAGAAAUUCAACAUGAACAAUUCUAACCCUGCAAUUAGUCUUAUGGAAGAGGCUCUUUGGUUUCUCAUCAAAAUAUUUAAGUUAUAUCUUCCUUUGGUUAACUUUGCAAGUGUUUUUAGAAGAUCACAAGUUUCAUUUUUUAAGGUAUUACAUUCAUUUCACAUGUCAGAUUCAUUUUUUUUUAUAAAAGUGGAAGAGUUUUGGACUUGAUCAUUUUGUAUUUCUCUAAGAUUUUCUAUUUAUUUUUCAAGGAUUUUAAUUUUAGAUUCAAGAGAAGAAAUAAUAUCCUAGGAUAUAGAGACAAUUUCUUCCAAUUUACUUGUUUCUUUUGUUAUCUUCUUACAAAUGUGGAAAAAAGUUGAUAAGAAAAGUAAGAGGUUAUCUUAUCAUCUUGAUGAUUUUCCAUGAGACAAAUGUUGGCUUCUUCUUCGUCAUCUGAAGAUUCCAUAUCUUUAUCCUUCCAUGCAAUGUAAGGUUUCUUGCCCUUCUUAUAAGUUUCUUAUAUUUCUUCUGAUUUUGAUUUUCCUUUUAAGAAAACAUAAAGUUUGAUCUGGUGUAUCCUUUAUUUUCACAUAGGUAACAUGUGGGAUCGAAUGAAGCUUUAUCCUCAUCUUUUUCCUGUUUCUCUUUUUGUUAUUUCUCAUGCCCUAUGCAGGACCGACCCAAUCAUAUCGGAGGCCCCGUUCUAAUUAAAAAAAUGGGCUCAAUUUUUUUUAAAAAUAUAAUUAUAAUAAUUAAAAAAAUAUAUAUCAAAAAUACAAUUAUGUAUUAAUUAAAAAUAAAUUUAAUUAUAAUUAUUUUGAGUUCUGAUCAAUCUUGAUUUUUAUAUGUAUUGAGUUUUUAUCAUAAUAUUUCUUUCAAUUAUUGAGUUUUUUUAAUAACAUUUUAUUUAUUUUUAUUAAUAUUUAUAAAAAAAAUGAAAAUUUUAAAAGUUGGGGCCCUCUAAUAUUUGGGGCCCUGUGUUGCAGCACAUGCUACACUUGCACAGGGCCGGCCCUGGCCUUAUGAGUCUUUUAAAGUUUUCGACUAUAAGGGACAUGUCACCAUGAGAGUCAGAAUCUUCCACUUUGAGCACUAGGCUAUUGUUUUCUUUUCUCCUUCCUCAUAUAUGAAUGGACUAUUUAGUUCAAUCUCGAGUUCCUUCAAUUGACGAAAAAAAAGGUGUGUGUGUUCAUAAUUGCUAAAUCCCUAGAUUCACAAAUCAUAACGAAUUUAGGUUGCCAACUAUUGUUUAAGUACCUAAACAAUUUCACAACUAAUUCCUCAUUUGAAAAUAUUUUUUAUAGAGUUCUCAAAUGACUCAGGAUAUGCAUAAACCGUGUUUGCAUCUUAUUAAUGUUUUGUUCAUGUUUUAUCAUUAAAAGUUCAUACUCCUAAAUUAAUAUGCCAAACCUUGUCCACUUUAACUAAAUAGUCCCUUCGUGGUUACUUUAGAGGAUGUUCACAUUUUUUUUAGUCUUGCAGUGAGAAACUUACAAAAAUUCAUCAAGACCAAGAGUGGUAGUGAUGACAAUUUUUGUUUUCAAAAUGCGCUGCACAUUUUCUUUAUCAUCUUUGGUCCAAUCCUUUUUUCAAGUUUGUUCACUACAACACUAUCAACAUCGUGUGUAUGAACACUACCACAAUCCAUCCCUUUUAUCCCCCUAUCCUAAAAAAAUAGUUUUCAUAAGCUGAACACAAAAAUUGAGUGGAUAUUUUAUAUAACUUUUCCAAUCUGAGUUUUAUAACCGAGCAAUAGUGGCACAACACUAAUAUAACUCUUUCCUCACAAGAAAAUUUCAUUCAUAAGGCACUAAGGAAACUUCGGUGAAAAAGAAUAUAUAUAUAUAUAUAUAGAGAGAGAGAGAGAGAGAGAGAGAGAGAGAAGAGAAGAGAUAAAUUAUAGAAAAUUAGGAAAAUCCCAAAUUCUAGUGUGAAAUUAAGUGAGGAGAAACCUCCUUUAUAUAGGAAAAAAAUUGGAUUUAUAUGGAAAUAAUCCAUGUGCCUUUUAAAUGACCUAAUCAAUUAGAUAUUUGAAAUAAUAGAUCAAUUUAUGCUGAAAAAAGAAAGUUUUAAUAUAUAGUCAUUACUAAUUAUAUUUUCCAAAAAAUUACAGGGUGUGCGUGGUCCCCCUGCAAGGACAUGGAGAAUUUGAGGCCCUAAUAGGUAUAAUAUAGUUUUGAGGGGCGAGGGCUAGCUCACGAAGGUGACUAGCCUUGUACCAUGGUUUUUGAGGUUGUUUGAAGGACCAAAUCACAUGAGGUGAAAUGUCGUGUUGGUUGUCGACACUGUUGGGUGCAGGCGGGUGGUUGAAUUGACGAUGUUAGGACUACUCGGAGCGUAGCACCGUCCAAGCAAUAAUGGAUAUGUAUGCCUUGAUCUUCUCUAUCCCCUUGAGGGAUAGUGUAUUUAUAGGGUCCUCGAUAUCUAGGGUGUUUGCAUCCUGAACAUGGUCUUAACUGCUCCUCGCUUACUAGGAAGUUAUUGACUGCCGAUAUUCUUGAAGUCAGUGAGGAAUCUCUCUCAUGUGUCCCCUAUGUAUGUUGGACCUCCUAAGAGAAUCCCUUAAAUUCCUUUUGGGUGGUCCAUCUGCUGGGCGAGAUCGUCCUAGUAUAUGACUUCAUAAAUAUAACAUUACACAGUCUCUUAAGCACAAGGGAUUUUCGUUAAAGGGAGAAGUGUUUAAUAUUUGAGAUGGGUAAUAAUAUAUUUUUACUCUUUUGUUUAUUAUUUGUGAUUAUUAAUAUAGUUAUUAAGAUGAAAUUUUCAGAUGAGUAAUUCAGAGAGGAAUUACAAUGUUGGCCUCAUAUUGGCGAAAUUAUGAUUUAGAGAGAAAUCUUGAGUAUGAGUUUUGAGUAUAUUUUCUGUUGUUUUGAGUUUAUUGAAUUCUGUUGUCAUGUUCAUGCAUACAUGUAUAUUGGAGUUAGGUAAGACUUAGGUCCGGUGAGGUCAGGAUCAGAGAGGAACCAUGACAAUCUCAAAUUCAUAGAGGAACACGAUUCAAAGAGGAACCAAAGACAUGGAUAAAUUAGUAACACACCUAUGAUACCAUAUUGGAGGAGAAGUAUACUGCAUUAUGCAUUUUUAUUAUAGUUAUUGUUGUUGUUGUGAACUUUAUGUGGGAAUGAUGAUAGAUGUUGUUAUGACUAACUUGCUAUUUAAUUUUAUUGUUAACAUCUGUAAAGUUAUUCUCACCCCAUUUUAUUUAUUUGUGGUGUUUUGUACUCUCUUGGGGUACAAAUAAUCAGGUAAAGUAGUAACUGCUUUAAGCUGGAGGAUGGCGUGAAGGCCUCUUCGUUUACUUGUUGUUUUCUAAUUCUUUUGUUUAGUACCUUUUGUCGCUCUGAUAAUGUAACAUAUGGGGUAUGGCCGUUGUUUCCUUUUAUUUUUCUAAUUAUUGAGUUGAGAUCAAACUGAUAUUUUAUUUGAGUAAUUUUUUUUGAGAUCAUGAGAAGGUAUUGUUAUAUGUUUUAUAAUUCUGCUGCAAUAUGUUUAAAUGGAUGAAAGAUGUUUUAUUUUAAGAAUACGUGACACCCUUUGGUGACAAAUACUCUAAUUUAUUUUAUAAAUUACGCGCCAGGUUUAGGGUGUUACAAAAGGGGUCUUGUUGAACUGGGGAAACAUAAUCUGUUGGGUGGUGACAAAGUCCAAAAGCUUGAAUUUUGUGAACCUUGUGUGUUUGAUAAAUCCUGCAGAGUGAAGUUUAACAAAGGAAAACAAAGAACACAUGAAUCCCUUUGUUACAUUCAUGCGGAUCUUUGGGGUCUAGAAGGAGUCUUUCACACUCAGGUGCAAAGUAUUUUCUAUCCAUAGUUGAUGAUUAUUCCAGAAAGUUAUGGGUAUUCAUUCAGAAGACUAAGGAUGAAAAUUUUGAAAAUUUCAAAAGUUGAAAGACUCUGGUCAAAAAUUAGAUUGGCAAGAAGGUCAAGUGGUUGCGAACCUAUAAUGGCCUUGAGUUAUGCAAUAAAGCUUUCGAUAGUUACUGUAGUAUGUAUACUAUUGCAAGGCACAAGACUACUGCGGGUACUCCUCGGUAAAAUGGCUUGGCUGAGAGAUUCAAUCGAACAAUCCUAGACAGGGUUAGAUGCAUGUUGGUUAGUGUAAGAUUGAAGAAGGUGUUUUGCGCUGAGUCUGCAGUGACUACAACAUACCUGAUAAAUAGGAGCCCCUCGAUUGCCUUGGGAAUGAAGACACCUAAAGAAGACUGGUCGAGACUUCUACCUAAUCUCGACAGACUUAGAGUAUUUGGCUAUUUAGAAUAUGCUCACAUUAGGCAAGACAAGGUUAAACCUAGAGCUAUGAGAUGUAUGUUUCUUGAAUACCCUGAAGAAGUCAAAUCUUAUAGGUUGUGGUGCAUAAAGUUAAGUAACAAGAGAUGCAUCACAAGUCGAGAUGUAGUUUUCAGUGAAUCAGAAAUGGCGUUCAACAAAACUGAUGAUUUUGGUCGAAAUACGAAGAUCUUUGUACAUGAGUUGGAACAUGAAGAGAUUCUUAUUGAGGUAGAGCGUAUUGAUGCUGAAUUGCACAACUCAAAUGAAGUUGAAUAAGAAGCAUAAGUUGCUGAUGAAGAUAAGGAGAAUGAUAAUUACUAUCUGAUGGUAAGAGACAGGUCUACUAGAGUCAUCAAGCCACCUCAGAGACUUGAUUAUGCAUAUCUCAUAACUUUUGCCUUAAUCUAUGCAAGUGAGGUUCUUGAUGAAGAACCUAGAUACUACAAGGAAGCUAUAAGGAGUCAAAACAAGACUAAAUGGAUGAAAUCCAUGGAUAAUGAUAUGAAAUCUCUUCAUGAUAACCAUACUUAGGAGCUGAUCGAGAAACCUGCUGGAGCCAGGUUAGUCAGUUUUAAGUGGAUUUUCAAGGUUAAGAAAGGAAUUGAAAGAGUGAUGUUGAAGAGAUUUAAGGAAAGGUUGGUUGCUAGGGGGUUCACUCGGAAAGAAGGAGUCGAAUUCAAUAAUGUGUUCUCUCCUGUUGUAAAGCAUAUAUCCAUUAGAAUGUUGUUACCCAUGGUGGAAAAGUUUGACCUAGAACUUGAACAAAUGGAUGUGAAGACCUCCUUAUUGUAUAGUGAUUUAGAUGAAACAAUCCUGAUGAGGCAAACUGAAGGGUUUGCAGAAAAAGGAAAUGAAGAUUAUGUGUGCAACCUGAAUAGGUCUUUAUACGGCCUGAAACAAUCUCCUCAUCAAUGGAAUAGGAGAUUCGACAAGUUCAUGACACACAUAGCUUUCACUAGGAGCUAGUUAGACCAUUGUGUUUACUUCAAAUUUUGAUCUGGAAACCCAUUUAUUACUUUGUUUCUUUAUGUGGAUGACAUCCUCAUACAAAAAAACCAUGGAGAGGAUGUUAUGAAGGUGAAGGCUGAAAUCGAUAAGGAGUUUGACAUGAAGGAUAUGGGAGUUACCACCAGGAUUCUUGGGAUUGGCAUUCGAAGAGAUACAAAAUAGUCGAGAUUAUGCUUAUCUCAAGAGACAUACUUGAAGAAGAUUCUCGAUAAAUUUGGUAUGUCGAAUUCAAAUCCUAUUGUAACACCGACAAAUCCUCAAUUCAAGCUGAGUACGACUCAAAGUCCUAGUAUUGAGGUUGAAAGAGUCUAUAUGAAUAACACUCCAUAUCCUAGUAUUGUAGGUUCUUUGAUGUGUGUUAUGGUUUGUACGAGAACAGGCAUAACGAAUGGAGUGAGCCUUGUAAGCGGGUAUAUGAUCAAUCCUGGGAAGGCACACUAGAAAGCUUUAAAGUGGAUUCUAAGAUACAUAAAAGGAUCCCUGAGUAGGGUCUUGAUUUAUGAUGGAGCCAUGAGUGAUGGUGAAGCCGAAGUCAGAGGACUUGUUGACUCUGACUAUGCAGGAUGUAUGGAUACCAAAAAGUCUCUUUCUGGAUAUGUUUUCACUAUGUUUGGUACAACAAUCAGUUGGAAAGUUUCUCUUCAGAAGUUCGUUGCCUUAUCAACCAUUGAAGCUAAAUAUAUUGCCAUCAUUAAAGUUAUGAAAGAAGCAUUAUGACUUGAAAGGAUUGUUAAGGAACCAGAACUUCAAGGUCAAGCUAUCACUGUUAAAUAUGAUAGUCAAAGUGUCAUACAUAUGUCGAAGAAUUCAGCCUAUCAUGAGAGAAGAAAGAACAUUGAUGUUAGGUUGCAUUUCGCCAGGGAGAAAAUUGAAAGUGGAGAAGUCAAAGUGAUGAAGGUUUCAAUAGAUCAUAAUGAUGCAUAUAUGAUCACCAAGUCAUUUCCAAGUAGCAAGGUAUUUCACUGUAUGUAGUUGUUAAAGCUGCAUGAUGAAAUCUAGUUUGUUCCCUUAAUGUUGUAAAGUUUGUUCUAAGAUGGGGAUUUGUAGUAUUUUGGAUCGAACUCUAGUCUCGAUAGGGAUAACUUCAUGUUUUGACAGGAGUUAUGCAUGCUGUAGUCGAAGUCUGUUCAAGCAUGCAGAAGUCGAAGAUGUGCAUGUUGUAGUCGAAGCUUGUUCUAGCAUGUAGUUGUAUAAGUUAGCUUGCUAGUUAAUCUAUCUUAGUGCUUAAGUAGCUUGUUGGUUAAGCUAGCCUGUAGUCUAUAAAUAGAAUGCUCCCUCAGAUUGUUGAGAGAGGGUUAAGUUUGAUUGAUAUUUGCUUGUAAAAAAAUUGUGAAAAUAAAUAGUAAAACGGUUUUAACUAAUUCUUAUUCUUGUUCUUCUCUCUUCUCUCUCUAUCGUAAAUCGAAAAAGGAUUUCUUGUGUUUGUUUAAGAAAUUCAAUAUUUCUCAUAAUUGUAUUCGUUACUAGUGCAGUAUUUGUUACAACAACAACAACAACAAUAAUAAUAAUAAUAAUAAUAAUAAUAAUAAUUAUUAUUAUUAUUAUUAAUAAAAAUACUCCUUUCUAUCUUAGAAAAAUUGUAUUCGUUACUAGUGCAGUAUUUGUUACAACAACAACAACAACAAUAAUAAUAAUAAUAAUAAUAAUAAUAAUAAUUAUUAUUAUUAUUAUUAAUAAAAAUACUCCUUUCUAUCUUAGAAGGUUGAAAAUAUAGUUUUAAAAUAUUAAAUUUUAAUGAUUAGCAAUUUUUUUAUAUUACCAUUUUAAUAAACAUAUUAAAGAAAAAAAAUACAACACAUUAAUCUGCUUAAAGGAUACAAAUAUUUUAUUGUUUCCAACACAACCUUCUCUUUAUCUACAAUAAAUGAGUCAAAUAAUAUUCUAUUAUUAUAUGUAAAGAGAAAAAAAUAUGACUAAAACUCUCAAGUUUGUGUAUGUCAUGAUUUUAUUUUUAUUUUUAGUUGCAAGGAAUGAUGGAGCCGGUAAUUUAUUUUCUCAUCAUUUUCAAUUUUUCUUCUAUAAACUUUAUCUUUUAUAUUAUGUUAGUAACAUUAUUUUACCAUUUUUUUUUCAUUACAGAAUCACGACUAAUUAUUUGUAAAACAGAUGUCGAUUGUCUAGAUAGAUCCGAGUUUCACAAGUAUAUAUGCAUUAGAAAAAGAUGUAGAAUUUUUUUAGUGCCAUUCUAGGAUAAAAUAAACUUAACAAAAAAAAACUUCUAAUUAAAUUAAAAUUUCUAUACUAAAAUCAAUCAACAAGAUUAUCAAGAAUAUCAAGAGUACGCAAUAUCUGAAACAUUUUUUUUCAUAUGAAAUAUGCAUAUGUGUUGCGAAAGAAGGAGCAUCAGAAAUAUCAAGAAUUAAAUCUUAUAUUUAUUACUAGAAGAAUGUCUUUUCUUUGAAGAAUACUUGACCAUCUAUUGUCAAAAUGAUUAAUGAGAUAAAAUACUUGUUUUUCUUUGGAUUCUAUGAUGAAUGAUUCUUUCAUAUAAGUUUAUUUGCGAAGGUCAACUUGUGGGAAUUCUAACUAUUUGGUUUGUACAUUAGUGUUAUUGUUAGUCCAUUUGCAUUUAAAUAAAGAAACAUUGAAUACAACAUAAUCAAUCUUCUAAAUCUCCUCAAUAAUCCUAAAGUACGUUCUGGAUACAACAUAAUCAAUCUUCUAAAUCUCCUCAAUAAUCCUAAAGUACGUUCUGGAUGCCAUAAAAAAUUAUUUUCCUUUGAAUUAGAGAAGUACAUGAACUCUAUCUCAACCAUAACCCCACUAUUUUGCACUAUAUUACAAUUAUCCUUUGAUUUUGUAUAAAAAGAUAUGGCAACCCAAAAAGAAAAUUGUAAAUAUAAAAAAUUUAAAGAAAAACAACACAUUGUGGUGUUUCGUUUUCAAUUUUUUAUCAUUCAUUAUUUUUUUAUAAUAUAAGCCAUUUGUUGCCAGGGUUGCUAAAACUCAUCGAGGGAAAAAAUAGCUUAAAAAUAAAUAAAAAAUAAAACUAAUGAUGUUAUAAUUUGAAGUGUGUCCGUGAGAGACAUUUCCUCGUGGUUGUUAAAGAUGAUUGAAAAAAAAUUGAAUUAAAAAAAAACGUCACUUUUAUAAUGAAUAAAACAAAAAAUUGAUGGUGUUGCGAAUUGAAAUGUAUCCCUGAAAAAAUCUAUGAUUGAUUAAAUUGAUUGAGGGUGAAAGAGACUUAAAAAUUAAUAUCAAAGAGUAUCGCCUAAAGAUUUUUCUUUUAUUUCAAUGCAUUAAUUGAUCCAAAAAGUUCGUCAAAAAAAUGUAUAAUUCAUUAUUGUGAAUAAAAUCCCCCCUUAUCUUAUAAAAUAUCAAGAAGUAUGAAAUUUAAAAUAUCAAGAAAUCUCAAAAACAUCUAUAGAAAUAAUUUUUUUUGGAAGUGCACACAUUUUUCGAAUACAAUCAUCCCAAAUGCAAUUGGAUAAAGUGCUUCAUCAAACAAAACUAAUAUUAUGAAAAGAUGCAUUAACAAGACCAUCCGAACAAAAAUUCCCUUUUCAAAAGAUAUGUGACACUUUAAAACAAAAACUUAUAAUUAGAUUGAGAUAGCUGGAUCAACAAUUUUGAAGGAUCCAAAGCAUAUUUUUAGGAUUAGAAAAAACUUGAAACACUAACUGAAAAUAACUUUUAUGUCAUAAUUUAAGCUAAUCGUUAGCAUAAACUAUUUCUACCGCUAACAUGACAAUAAUCAGUUAUGCAUUGCAUUUUCAAAAUUAUUGAUACCAAGUGGUCGAGAAAAAGCAUCUAAAAAUACUUUUAACUUGUUCAAGACCCCUCAUUAAGCAUUGUAUUUGAUGACAUGAUUGGCGACUAAUUCCCAUUAAAAUAAUAGUUUUAAUCAACUACAACAACAAUCCUUAGUUUUUCUUUUAGUCAAGCAUGCGAAUUUCUAAACUGUACUUCAUUUUGGAUUUUCUCAAAAUCUUAAAUUUUUUUUUCCUCCCAUAAUCUUAAUUUCUCUUUUCUUCUCCAAUUUAUUUUUCUUUUCUUUUUGCAAUCAAGGUGUGGUUGAUUCACAGUUUUUCAUAAGUUUGAUGAACUUUCAACAUCAAAAAUUUGACAAAAUUCCAACAAUUGUCCUGCCCUUAAGAAUACUUUCCUUGUACUGCAAGACGCACUCCUUAAUGUCUUUAUCCAGGUUCUUCUGGGCAUGAUGUAGUCAUCAUCAAAAUACUUUUGUGAUGCAAUACCAUAAAACAUGGCACACAAUGACCCAAGUUUCUUGCCACAAACUCUCCUCCUACUAGUUAUUGUUAAAGUUACUGACUACUACAAAUAACAUAUGUAAUGUCGAAAAUGAAAUGAAUUUCACCUCAGUUACAAUGUCGAGGUAACGAAGGAUGACAUGAAAAAUGAGAACUUUACCCCUUGACUUAAAAAUAGCCGAGAGAUAAUUUAAAUGGUCAUGGAUUCGAAACCCAACAAUAUAUUUUUUAUAUUUUUCAAACUAGCAUCAUAUACCUCUCGGUUUAAUAACAAAACCGAGAAUAUAUAUAUAUAUAUAUAUAUAUAUAUUUAAUAUAUAUAUAUAAUAUAUAUAUAUAUAUAUAUAUAUAUAUAUAUAUAUAUAUAUAUAUAUAUAUAUAUAUAUAUAUAUAUAUUAUAUAUAUAUCAUUACAUUGUUUACACAUAAUAUUAAUAAAAUAAUUUGCUUACAAACUAUAUUGUUUACACAGAAUAUUAAAGUAAAAAUAUUAUUCUUUAUCGUCAUCGUUGUCGGUGAAGAAUAAAUGAUGGAUAUAUUUAAAAAAAACAAAUAUUAGGGAUCCUCGUUUCAUUGAUCUAAAGGAAAAUCAAAUACCAAAUGCAAUAUAUUUUCUAUGACUUUCGCAUUAAUUUGUUUCUGAUAUAAAACAAAAAAAAAGGUUAAAUAAAUAAAAUAAAUAUUCAUUUAAGAGAUUAGGUAAGAAUACAAACCUUGAACCAAUUUUUUCCGGUACUUGCAAUCUAUCACAUAAAUCUUUGGCAAAGUAAAUACAUCUCACCAACCACAUAUUAAAUAAACCUAAAUUUUUUCUGCUCUUGCGCAAUCUAUCACAUUGAUACUUUUACUUUGUAAAAUCUCAUGACACUCUGAUUAAACAUAAAGGGUUUCACAACAACCUUUAGGUUUCUUGUGAUUCACUACUAUCAAAUUUUAAUAUUCAGAAUACUUUUAUAAUGAGGAUUGUAGGUUUCACAAAGAUCACUAAUGACAGUGUCUUGAGCGUUGAUACUUAUUAAAUAGAGGAUCAAGAUUUGUUUAAGGACAGUGAAAAAAUUGAAAAACACGUUAAUAUUUUAUCUCGGUUAUUACUCAAAAUCGGGGUAAAUGUGUUUCUUUUUAAAUAAAAAACAAUAAAAUACGUUCCGACCCAAACGUCACAUACUUCUCGGUUUUUGUUAAAAAUCGAGGGGACACAGUUUUUUUUAUAUUUAUAUUGUUUACACAGAAUAUUAAAAUAAACUAUUUAAACAAAUCAAGAGUUUGACUAUGGAUUUUUGGAGAACAACUCAUCUUUUCAAAUUUCUGAUAAGUUAUCUGUUUUAAAUAAAUGACAUUUUUUUCUAUACUUUCAAUCCAUCAUAGAGAGAUUUCAUUAUGUUAAGCAAAUGUUUGCAUGACAAAUGCUUUUACAUGAAAUAGAAAUUGAUUAUGGUGUUUAUGAAUAAAUUUUUCAAUGUUUUCAACUGAAGAAAAUAAUAACUUUUUUAAUAUUUUCUUUGAUUGACAACAUAGGAAGGUUAUUACAUAAAUACAACAACAUCAAUAUCAUUAUGUGAGAUAGAUUGCAAAAUAUUUUAUUCCGUACCAAAGAAUGAUGCAUAAAGACUUUGGAGCGGUUACAUAUAAGUUAAGUUUAUGAUAAAAUUUGAUUAAUGAGUGCUUUUAUAAUAAAUAUGAAAAUUUAAUCUCUCCGUUAUUAAAUAUAACCGAAGAAAUAAAUAAUUAAUUUAAAAAUAAAAAUAAAAAUAAAAAGAAAGACACUAUUUUAAAAAAAAAUGUUGAGGAUAGGAUUCUAAACAUGUUAUAAAAUACUUUUCCUUUUUAAUUUUAUUUUAAAAUCGAUGUAAUAUAUGAUAUUUAUUAAAAAAAUAUAUAAAAUAUGUCAUGUACUGAUCCUUUACCUUAAUUUUUUUAUUUAUAGGAGUGAUUUCUCAUUAUUUGAUUUGAGUUGAAGAAAAGUUUUCAAUUGUUAGCAUGAACCAACUCUUUUCGAGAUGUGUGGAACACGUUAAUAUUUUAUUUUGUGUAUGACUAUAUUGACACGUUAGUUUUUGCGUUAUUAAUGAUAAUAAUAAUAAUAAUAAUUAUUAUUAUUAUUAAACAUACCCCUUUCUAUCUUCAAAGAUAGUUUUAAAAUAUUAAAUUCUAAUUAUUUACAAUUUUUUUACUAUUUUAACAAAUAUGUUAAAUAAAUAAAAUACAUCACAUUGAUCUGCUUAAGAGACAAAAAAAAUAAAAUAGAAAUGAAAUCUUAAAACUCCCUAAGAGAUACCAAUAUUUUAUAUUUGUAGCAUAACCUUCUAUUUAAAUUUAAACAUUAUAAAAGAGUCGAAUAAUGUUCUAUUUAUUUAUUGUAUGUAAGAGAAAAAAAUAUGGGUAAAACUCUCAUGUUUGUGUAUGUUGUGGUUUUAUUUCUAUUUCUAUUUUUUGUUGCAAGGAAUGAUGGUGGCUCACGUAAUUUAUUUUCUCAUCAUUUUCAAAUUUUCUUCUAUAAACUUGUAUCUUUUAUAUAUCAUGUUAGUAAUAACAUUAUUUUACUAUGUCUUUUUUUUACAGCACGACGAUUUAUUCCUUGUAAAACACGUGCUGAUUGUCCAGAUAGUUCUGAGUUUCAAAAGUAUAUGUGCAUUGAAAGCCUAUGUAAACUUAUUAGAUUGAAGUGAAUCACUCUAGUAUAAAAUAAACUUGAUGAAAUAAAAAAGUUUCUAGUUAAAUUAAAAUUGCCUUGUUAAAAUCAAUUAACAAUUUAUGUCAACAAUGCCAAAUCAAUUGAAAAAUAAGUCAGAUAAGUAGGAAUAUUUACCGCAUACCCCACCUUGUUCCUAUAUUUUUAUAUUUUAUAAAAAAAACAUCAACUUCGUCUUUAUAUAUUUUAAAUUAAUUCAUAAUUUAAAAAAAAAAAAAAAAUUUAUUUUAUGUAUCAAAAGAUUUUAAAAAAAAUUAUGAUAGUCAAUUCUUUAAAAAAAAUUAUUUUUAUUUUGUAUAUCGAAAGAUUUUUCAAAAGAGUUCUAGUAGUUAGUUUUUAACCUUAACUUUUAUUAUGUGUAUUGAAAAACUUUGUAAAAAAAUUCGAUAGUCAAUUUUUUAAUUUUUAUUUUGCAUACCGGAAGACUUUGUAAAAGAGUUUCGAUAAUCAUUUUUUUUUAUAUUUUGUGUAUUAAAAUAUUUGCAAAAGAGUUUUGAUAGUCGAUUUUUAACUUUUAUUUUACGUAUCGAAAAAGUUUUGUUAAUCAUUUUUAACUUUUAUUUAAUGUACCGAAAGAGUUACGAUAGACAGUUUUUUAAAAUAUUUUUUAACUUUUAUUUGUGUAUCGAAAAUUUUGCAAAACAGUUCUCAUCGUCAUUUUUUAAUAUUUUUUUACUUUUAUUUUACGUACUAGAAGACUUUGCAAAGGAGUUCCGAUAGUCAUUUCAGAAAUAUUUUUUAACUUUUAUUUUAUAUACCGGAAGAUUUUACAAAAAAGUUUCGGUAGUCAAUUUUUAACAUUAAUUUUUUUAUAUAUCGGAAGACUUUGGAAAAGAGUUACGAUAAUAAUUUUUUUUUAAUAUUUUUAACAUUUAUUUUCUGUACCGAAAAACUUUGUAAAUAGUCAAUUUUUAUAUAUUUUUUAAAUUUUAAUAAAUUAUUUAUAUGAUGACAUUUUAGUUUAAAAAAAUAUAAUGUAGGGGUAGGGGAAUAACUGAUGGGGUAUGGGAUAAAAUUUUCUACAAGUAGGGAUGGUAAAACGAGUCGAACCCGUCAGACCGAUUCGUUUGACCUGCCAUUUUUGUUGGCCCGGAUCAAAGUUUUCGACUCGCUGCCUUAAGUUGGUAUGUCCCUCCUAAUUCGCUUUAAAAACGGGAUGGGCCGGGGCAAAAAAUUUCGCAGGUUUUUUGUAAAAAUAAAUUUGACUUUGAAUUAAAAUUAAAAGUAUAUCGAGGAGAUUAAUCCACUGUUUUUUUUUCUUUAUGAUAAAAAUCAAAAUUUGAAUACUUACGUCUAACAUUUCCAUGAAUUGAAAAUUUUAUUUUCGUGUUGUUUCACUUAGAUGGAUGGUGGACAUAAGUUGCAACCAUAAAGCUAAAUAAUUUAUCAAAUAGGACUUAAAAGAUUAAGAAGUAAUAAAAUAGUAAAAAAAUAUAUUAUUAUUUAAUAAAAUACUAUAACUUUUUAUAUAUUUUAUUAUAUAAUGAUUUCUUAAAAUUGUGAAUUAUUAUUUGGAAGAUAAUGAAAUAGUAUUUUUUUUUAUUAUUGUUUAAUAAAAUACUAUGAUUUUUUAUAUUUUUUAUUAUAUAAUGAUUUCUUUAAAUUAUAAAUUAUUAUUUGGAAGAUAAUGACAUGAAUAAAAAAUAAACUAAAUAUAAAAAUUUAUAAACAAAGCGGUAAAUCAAAUUGUAAAUAAACUAAUAAUUAAAAAAUUGUAAAUAAAUUAGUAGUUAAACUAAAAGGAAAAAGAAAAAAGUUUGACGGAUCGGCUCGUCAAUCUGCCAGCUUGUUAUUAAACAGGACGAGAUUGAUUUUUGAGCUCGAUCACUUAAAUUGAUUUGUUCCUCCCUAUUUUUGAAUGGAUUUAAGUGGGACGAGUCUAAAAGAGGCGGACGAUCGAUUUUGCCACUUCUAUGUACAAAUAUACAAAAUCAUCAUCAAAUAAUAAAUUUCAGUUAUAUCUACUAAGAUGUUAUUUUCAUCAAUAAUAGUAUUUAUUUAUAUUUAUACUAAUUUUUUAAUUAUAGUUUGGUAUUCUAAAAUCUUAAAAAUAAUUUAAUUUAAUUUUGCAUGUGUCGACAUGGCAACCAAUUAAAGCAUAUUGUAAAAUAUUUAAUAGUUAAAAUGAAAAAAAUAUAUUUUAAUUAAAAACUCAUAAUUAUAAUUCCAUGUCAUAAUAAUGUUACACUUUUGAGUUUUCAAACAAUUUAAAUUAUACUUCUCUUAGAUAGAUAGUCCAAUGAAUUCUUCACCAAAGCUCGUCUCCCCAAAGCCUUCGCAAUUGAUUUCAUUGCUUUAAUCCAUAAGUCCCACAAUCUUCAAACUAUCAACGAUUUUUGACUUAUCACUCUUAUUACAAUUGUUUAUAAGAUUAUCUCCAAACUAUUAGUGGGAAGAUUUAGAAAAGUCAUCGGAAAACUGGUUUCAAUGAACCAAUCUACUUUUGUCCUUGACAUAAGUUUAUCUGAUGUAAUUCUUAUUGUUAAUGAGGUAGUUAACUAUGCUCGAAGGAAUAAGAAAAAUUGUUCGUAUUUAAAGUUGACUUCGAGAAGGUCUUUAACUCAAUUUCUUAGAAUUACCUUCUUUAUGUUCUCAAGAGAAUGAAAUUCAAAAAUAUUUAGAUCAAUUGGAUUCGAGCAUGUGUUUGUUUGUGUGUGUAAGCGCGAGCAUAUGUUUGUGUUCUAAUUCAUUCUCAAUCCUUAUUAAGAUAUUCCAACAACUGAUUUCCAAACUGAGCGUGGUCUUUGGUAAGGUGACCCACUAUCCCCUUUUCUAUUCAUCCUGGCAGCAGAAGGUUGAACAUGUCUUCUGAGAUGUGUAAGCUCUUCUUUGGAUUUUAAACCUUUUAAGAUGAAGGGUAACUUGGAUGUUGAUUUACUGCAAUUCACGGAUGACAUUUUAUGCUAAGUAGUUAUCACAAAUUUUCUCUUCUAGAGAUGCUCUGACUAAAUGAAAUUUCUAAUCCACUUGUCCACCUCUUUAAUUAAAGAAAUGUGUCAAAUGCUUAUGCCAAAAAUAUAUAUUAAAAUAUGAUGUGAGUCACUUUUCAAGCCAAUUGAACUCUUAUUACAAACAAAAUAAGAUAAACCUUCUUAUAAGCAAGUGUAUAUUUAAUUUUGUAAGCAAAACCUUGCCCAUAACUAACUUUGGACUUACCAUUAAAAAUUGGGAUCCCCAAAUGAAUGAAAGGAGUGGUGUCAAUAAAAGAGCCUAAAAGCUCAACAAUUAAUUGUUGUCUCCUAUCUAAAAAUUGAACUAGAUUAAAUGAUCAAUUUUCUAUGAUUAAUAGUUUAACCAUAAGCUUGCUCAUACUUUUAAAAAAAAUCCUAAGUUAUUGCAUAUUAGAUAUGAUGACUGUUAUGAAAUUGAUGCCCAAAAAAUAGAGUAUGAUAGGUUUCUUGAUUAACAAGAAAACCACUAAAGAAAAGAAAAGAGAGAAGAGAAAGAACAAUAAAAGUGGUUAAAAAUUGGAUUAAUCUUUAUUCAAUUACACAUUAGGGAACAAUGUUUACAAUUGAAUCUCAACCACACCACUUUCUUCCUCUGAUAGGAUUAUCUUAGAUUAAUGAAGAAGUGAGAACUAGUAUGCUAUAUCUAAGAAAACAAAACUCUAACUUUUAACUAACAUACUAAACGAUUGACCAAUAGACUGGCCCAAUUAGACAUGCUAACUUAAACAACAAGCUAAUAUAUAUAACUGCAUGUAAGAACAAACUUUGACUAUGAUAUGCACAUCUUCGACUCCUGGCGAACCAUGAAGUUAACCUUGUCGAUGCUAGAGCUUGAUCCAAAUACCACAAAUAUCCACCUUGGAAAAAACUCUACACAAACAAGGGAACAAGCUAGCUUUCAUCAUACAGCUUUAUCAACUGCAUACAAUGGAAGAACUUGCUACUCGAAAAUAUCUUGAUGAUCAUAUUAGAAACAUUGUCAUUAGUUGAAACCUUCAGCACUUGGACUUCUCCAUGUUCGCUUAUCUCUCUGAUGAAAUGCAGCCUCACAUUGAUGUGAUUGGUUCAUUCAUGAUAGGCUGAAUUAUUUGACGGAUGUAUGGCAAUUUGACCAUCAUAUUUAGCAGUGAUAACUUGACCUUGAAGUUUAAGCUCAUUUGCAAAACCUUCAAGCCACAAUGUUUCUUUCACAACUUCAGUGAGGGAAAUAUACUUCGCUUCAAUAGUUGAUAUGGAAACAACCUUUUAAAGUGUUGCUUUACAACUGAUUGUUAUGCCAAACAUAGUGAACACAUAUCCAAAAAUAGAUUUUAUGAAAUCCAUACAACCUGCAUAAUCAUAAUCGACAAAUCCUUCAAUUUUGACUUUGCUAUCAUCACCACAGGCUCCACCAUAAAUCAGGACUCUUCUUAGAGACCCAUUUAUGUACCUUAAAAUACACUUUAAUGCUUGUCAGUAUGCCUUUCCAGGAUUGACCAUGUACUUGCUCACAAGGCUCAUUACAUAUGUUAUGUUUGGCCUUGUACAAAACAUAACAUACAUCAAAGAACCUACUAUACUAGGAUAUGGAAUUCCAUUCAUAUAGGCUCUUUCAACUUCAAUACUAGGACGUUGAUUCAUACUCAACUUGAACUGAGGAUUAGUCUGUAUUACAACUUCGUUUGAAUUCAGUAUACCAAACUUGUUGAGAAUCUUCUUUAGUUAUGUCUCUUGAGAUAAGCAUAAUCUCGACUAAUUUAUAUCUCUCAGGAUGUAAAUCCCAAGAAUCUUGGAGGAAGCUCCCAGAUCCUUCAUGUCGAAAGAGAAAAAAGGCGUGCAUUGCUCAAGUGAAGCACAGUUGGUCGACAUUUUCACCAAAAGAUUGAAGAUCGAUGGAUUCCUGAAUUUGAGAAAGAAAUUAGAAAUAGUUUAGAUCGACUAUGAUUAGCAUAUGUUCGACGAGUUGGAUUAUAGAGGGAUAUGUUGAGAUAUAAGAUAUAAUCCAAGUUGUGUGUGACCCAAUCCAAAGUUAAUUAGGGUUUAAGGUUUGCUACUUAGUUUAUUAUAUUUGUUACUUAGUAGUCACGUAACUAUGUAUAUAAAUACAUGCAUAUAUAAGUCAGUUUGUAACACAAUCACUCUUCAAUAAUAGAAUCCUUAUUUUCAUAUUCUCUCUCUUUUCUCUCGUCACUAAAAGUGCCUCGCGCAAAAAAAAAAAUCUUAAAUAAUAUUUUGUAUAUUCAAUGCACUGAACAUAUAAUAUUUUGUUUAUUUGAAAUUCUUAAUCAAUAUCCUAAAAACAAUGGUUAACAUGACCCUUAAAAUAAUAAUAUUACUCAACGACAAUAACAAUCCUUUAUAUAUAUAUAUAUAUAUAUAUAUAUAUAUAUAUAUAUAUANNNNNNNNNNNNNNNNNNNNNNNNNNNNNNNNNNNNNNNNNNNNNNNNNNNNNNNNNNNNNNNNNNNNNNNNNNNNNNNNNNNNNNNNNNNNNNNNNNNNNNNNNNNNNNNNNNNNNNNNNNNNNNNNNNNNNNNNNNNNNNNNNNNNNNNNNNNNNNNNNNNNNNNNNNNNNNNNNNNNNNNNNNNNNNNNNNNNNNNNNNNNNNNNNNNNNNNNNNNNNNNNNNNNNNNNNNNNNNNNNNNNNNNNNNNNNNNNNNNNNNNNNNNNNNNNNNNNNNNNNNNNNNNNNNNNNNNNNNNNNNNNNNNNNNNNNNNNNNNNNNNNNNNNNNNNNNNNNNNNNNNNNNNNNNNNNNNNNNNNNNNNNNNNNNNNNNNNNNNNNNNNNNNNNNNNNNNNNNNNNNNNNNNNNNNNNNNNNNNNNNNNNNNNNNNNNNNNNNNNNNNNNNNNNNNNNNNNNNNNNNNNNNNNNNNNNNNNNNNNNNNNNNNNNNNNNNNNNNNNNNNNNNNNNNNNNNNNNNNNNNNNNNNNNNNNNNNNNNNNNNNNNNNNNNNNNNNNNNNNNNNNNNNNNNNNNNNNNNNNNNNNNNNNNNNNNNNNNNNNNNNNNNNNNNNNNNNNNNNNNNNNNNNNNNNNNNNNNNNNNNNNNNNNNNNNNNNNNNNNNNNNNNNNNNNNNNNNNNNNNNNNNNNNNNNNNNNNNNNNNNNNNNNNNNNNNNNNNNNNNNNNNNNNNNNNNNNNNNNNNNNNNNNNNNNNNNNNNNNNNNNNNNNNNNNNNNNNNNNNNNNNNNNNNNNNNNNNNNNNNNNNNNNNNNNNNNNNNNNNNNNNNNNNNNNNNNNNNNNNNNNNNNNNNNNNNNNNNNNNNNNNNNNNNNNNNNNNNNNNNNNNNNNNNNNNNNNNNNNNNNNNNNNNNNNNNNNNNNNNNNNNNNNNNNNNNNNNNNNNNNNNNNNNNNNNNNNNNNNNNNNNNNNNNNNNNNNNNNNNNNNNNNNNNNNNNNNNNNNNNNNNNNNNNNNNNNNNNNNNNNNNNNNNNNNNNNNNNNNNNNNNNNNNNNNNNNNNNNNNNNNNNNNNNNNNNNNNNNNNNNNNNNNNNNNNNNNNNNNNNNNNNNNNNNNNNNNNNNNNNNNNNNNNNNNNNNNNNNNNNNNNNNNNNNNNNNNNNNNNNNNNNNNNNNNNNNNNNNNNNNNNNNNNNNNNNNNNNNNNNNNNNNNNNNNNNNNNNNNNNNNNNNNNNNNNNNNNNNNNNNNNNNNNNNNNNNNNNNNNNNNNNNNNNNNNNNNNNNNNNNNNNNNNNNNNNNNNNNNNNNNNNNNNNNNNNNNNNNNNNNNNNNNNNNNNNNNNNNNNNNNNNNNNNNNNNNNNNNNNNNNNNNNNNNNNNNNNNNNNNNNNNNNNNNNNNNNNNNNNNNNNNNNNNNNNNNNNNNNNNNNNNNNNNNNNNNNNNNNNNNNNNNNNNNNNNNNNNNNNNNNNNNNNNNNNNNNNNNNNNNNNNNNNNNNNNNNNNNNNNNNNNNNNNNNNNNNNNNNNNNNNNNNNNNNNNNNNNNNNNNNNNNNNNNNNNNNNNNNNNNNNNNNNNNNNNNNNNNNNNNNNNNNNNNNNNNNNNNNNNNNNNNNNNNNNNNNNNNNNNNNNNNNNNNNNNNNNNNNNNNNNNNNNNNNNNNNNNNNNNNNNNNNNNNNNNNNNNNNNNNNNNNNNNNNNNUCUCUCUCUCUCUCUCUCUCUCUCUCUCUCUCUCUCUCUCUCUCUCUCUCUCUCUCUCUCUCUCUCUCUCUCUCUCUCUCUCUCUCUCUCUCUCUCUCUCUCAUAUAUAUAUAUAUAUAUAUAUAUAUAUAUAUAUAUAUAUUGAAUUUUACAUUUGUCAAAGAAUCAAAGUUGGAGAGGACAUCUUGAAUUUGAUCAUGAAACUUGGAUGAUCUUCAUCUAAUAAGCAUCAAGUAAGUUAUGGUCCUUGGAAGUUGACCUCCUAAUUAAGGCACAGACAAAAUGACCUAUAAUUUUUCACCAUAAAAAAUGAAUUUCCAAGAAAAACAAACUCUUGAUGCCAACAUGAAAGUUGUUUGGAAUGUCAUAAGGAGUAACUUUGCUCUUGGAAUCAUUUUCAUAUGAUAAACAUUGUAAGAGAUAGGGUCUAGAGAACCCCAGUUUUGAACAGUUGGCUUUCUCUAGUCAACCUCUUUGAACCAACUUGCAAACUUGAAGUUCUCUUGAUUUCUUGGGCUCAUGGAGGAUCAUAUAUGCAUAAGGUGACGUAUGGUGAAGUAUCCCUUGAUAUAUUGGAUCAAAUGUUGAAGAAACUUGCUGAGGAAGUUACAUAAGAUACCCAAAUAAAUUAGGGUUUCCAAGACAAACUAGCUUCAAACUCUUGAUGGAUUCUUGAUCCAAAUGAUAAAUGAAGAAUAUGGGGAUUCAUAUAUGAUGUCUAGAACCAUUUUGAACCAUCUAUUGAUUGAUAUCCUUGCAUUGAGGGUCUCAAACCCUAAUUGUGAGCUUGAUGAGGCAUUGGUAGAUGCACACAAUACCUACAAACACUACGCCAAAAACUGGAAUAGACAGCGCACCUUAGAGGGCGCUUUAUUACAAAAGCGCUCUCUAAAGUGAAGCGAAAAAAUAAGGAGCAAUAGACAGCGCACUUUAGAGGGCGCUUUUGUAAUAAAGCGCCCUCUAAAGGUGAAGGCGAAAUAAGGAGGAGAUAGAGGGACAAAAUACAUGGCGCUUUUCAGAAAAGCCGCCCUAUAGGUACCCCUUAGAGGGCGCUUUUUUAAAAAAGCGCUGUUAUAGUCCAUGUGCAUUUUCCAGUUUUAUAAAGCGGCUCUGGAAAGCUUAGAGAGCGCCUUUCAUAAGCGCCCUCUUAGGCCCCCUUUUGAUGGGCGCUUUUUUCCAAACGCCCUCUAAGGUCCCCUUUAGUAAACAUUAAAAUUAUAACAUAACUGCGCGUUUUGUUAUUUCCACUCCUCUGUUAUUUUCGUUCUUUUUUCACGUUAGGGUUUCUUCACCUGCUACGAUUUUUUCCGAUAACUUCUAGGCGUUCUCCCCUCCACCUCUGUUAGAUCUACGAUGUUUCCUCCUUACUAACCAAUCAAUAGGUAGCACGAUGCAUGCAGGCUUAUGAGUGUUAUUUUUCUAGCAUACAUUAUUACUGCACUAGUGCUUUGUUUUAGCUUUGCCCCAUUCAGUUUUAUGUUAUUGUUUGCCUAUGCUAAACGUUUGUUUCGACCUGUAAAGUUUUCAAAUAUUCAUAGUCAUUUAAAUAGUUUGGGUUAUUAGGAAUUGACGGUUGGUUUUAAAUUUGCUGAAUUUGAUAUCGCUAUGAAAUCAACAUUCAAAGAGACUGUUUUUAGGUUCGGUUUAAAUGGUUGCAUUAUAGACGACAUUAGUAACCUUUGAAUUUCGCGGGGCUGAGAUUGUAGUUUAACAACAUUUGUAAAACCCUUAAAAAAAUUUCCAAAUUUUGAACCUAUCAGGCAGCUAAACUAAACACCUUCUACCAAUCAAAGGUACACUAUGCAAGCUUAUGAGUGUUUUAUUCUAGAUACAUAGUUGUGCUAGUAACUUAAGAAGUUUUAGGUAUGGGAUGUUAUUUGAUAGAGUAAAUGGAGACAUGAAUGCCCUGCACAGAGACUAACAUCAAUAAAGCGAAAUUGGUUUGUCUGGCAUCCCAUUUUUGGUUUAUCUUCUGAAAUUGUUUUUUUGUUUAUUCUAAUUAGUAAAUGGAUAAUACAUGGAUGUCUUCCAAUCGAUUGUCGAGAGACGUAACGAGAAUGGGGUAUCAGAAUUCGUUAAGUUUUGUCGUUGCGCACCGCCGAAGACCCCCGGUAGAAUGAUAUGUCCUUGCUUGGUUGUUGUUAUGGAAACGGGUUUGACGCAGUUCAGUUGACAAUCGGCAUCUCAUGAGGCAUGGAAUUGAUCGAAGUUAUACAUGUUGGAAUUUGCAUGGUGAGAAAAGUAACGAGAAUGUUUGAACGCGGGGGAUAGUACGACAUAUCCUCAAACUAUAGUGGCGCAAAUACAUACGAUUGUGGAUCGAGUUGAAGAGAUUGCAGAAGCACUUUAAAGGAGAUUCUAAGGAUUUGUCCGAAAUGUUUGAGAGGUUGGUAAGUGAUGCAGAGAAACUUUUGUAAUGUAGGUUGCACUAAAUUCACAAGAUUGUCUGCGGUUAUUAAAGUUGUACAACUUAAAGCGGGCAAUGGAUGGUCGGAUAAAAGUUUCCACAGAGUUAUUAGCCCUUUUGAAAGAUAUGCUUCCUGAGGAUAAUGUUCUUCCCAAUCGAACAUAUGAGAACCAAAAAGAUGUUGUGCUCUAUUGGCAUAAAUAUGAUAAGAUACAUGCAUGUCCAAACGAUUGCGUUUUGUUUCGAAAUGAGUAUGCAUCGUUAAAUGAGUGUCCUAAAUGCGGUGUCUCUCGCGAUAUAAGAACAAGUUGUCUCCAGCAAAAGUCUUGGUGGUAUUUCCCUGUUAUUCCGAGAUUUAGACGCAUGUUUGUAGUGAAACCGAUUCAAGACACUUGACCUGGCAUGCAGAUGAAAGAAUUAUAGAUGGAAAAUAUGCGACAUCCGGCAGAUUCACCACAGUGGUUGAAAAUUGAUAAUGAUUAAUCCUAAAUUUGGAGAGAAAUCAAGAAACCUUCGGCUGGCAUUAUCUACUGAUGGAAUGAACCCACACGGUAUCCAGAGUAAUCUCAACAGUACAGUGGCCUGUGAUUAUUAUGAUUUAUAACCUACCUCCAUGGCUAUGUAUGAAGCGUAAGUAACAUGAUGUUGUCUAUGUUGAUUUCUGGACCUCAAAACACCAGGGAAUGACAUAGACGUGUACUUGAAGCCCUUAAUCGAAGAUUUAAAGAUUUUGUGGGAGACGCGGUGUGGAGGUUUAUAAUGGAUAUAGGAAAGAAAGUUUCAACCUUGAGGGCGAUUGUUUGUUUGGCACAAAUUAAUGAUUUUCCAGCAUACGGAAAUCUAUCAGGGUAUAAGCAUAAAAGGGUCAAUGUGCGUGUCCUAUUUGUGAAGAUAAAAAAGAUUGGAAGGGCUUGGAGUUUGGUCAGAAGAAUGUCUUUCUUCGAUCAUCGGAGAUUUUAAAUUCAAAUCAUCACUACCGUGGAUGGAGAAAGGCGUUCAAUGGAGAGACAGAACAAGGCCAAAACUCCACCUAUAUUGACGGGUGAUCAAAUUUUUGAAAAGGUGAAAGAUUUGGAUACUCAGUUUGGCAAGCCUUUUGUCCACACACUUGUCAAAAGUGGGUGGAAGAAAGAGGUCAGUUUUUUUUGAAUUGCCGUAUUGGAAGUCCUUGUAUGUGAGACAUUUUCUUGAUGUUAUGCCAUAUUGAAAAAAAAUGUUUUGAAAGUGUUAUUGGCACGUUACCUCAAUAUACAAGGGAAAGUCUAAGGAUGGCCUAAGGCAAGAAAGGACUUGAUAGCGAUGGGAAUAAGAACUGAAUUAAGGACCCUUGAAAGAAAGGGGAAAAAAACAUUGUGUAAGUUUCUCAAGUGAAGUUAAAGUUCCAGAAGGGUACUCUUCAGAUAUUAGAAGACUUGUGUCUAUGAAAGACCUCAAGUUAAAGAGUUAUAAAGACCCAUGAUUGCCAUGUAUAAUGGAACAUUUUCCCAAUAGGUAUACGUUCUAUUCUUCCAGAAAAAGUAAGAAGCUCUAUAACUUAAGUUGUAUUCUUCUUCAAGUCAAUUUGCAGUAAGGUGAUCGAUCCUGCGAUCUUACCAAUGUUGCAAAAAGAAAUCUUAUUACUUUGUGUGAGCUUGAAAUGUUUUUUCCUCCAUCAUUUUUUGACAUAAUGGUACAUCUAGUUGUUCAUCUUGUGAAAGAGACACAAUUGUGUGGACCAGCUAUAUGAGAUGGAUGUACCCUGUUGAACGUUAUAUGAAAAUAUUAAAAGGGUACGUGGAAGAACCGAAGUCGACCAGAAGGUUGUAUGGUUGAAAGAUACAUUGUUGAAGAAGCGAUUGAGUUUGUACUGAAUAUUGUCUAAUGUUCAGUCAAUCGGACUCCCCAAGUCUCAGCUUGUCGAAAAGAAAGAAGGAAAAAAUCUAAUUGAAAUAAAAUCGUGGCAGUAAUCAAGGGUCGAACGGGAUCAAGUGCAUUUGUAUGUUCUGCACAAUGAGAAUGAGGUUGAGUCGUAUGUGGAAAAUUUUACAAGGAUGUUCUCCGAGGUUUAAAUCCCAAUAGAAAUGAAAUUGGAUAGUACGAGAGAACAAUCGAUGUUUUAUACCUUGGUUUAAGGAUCAUAUUAUUCAAAGUAAUUAUUCAGACCCGCUUCAAUAACAGAAAGGUUGAGAUGCUUAGCAUAUUGGUCCAAGUUUCCAUGUUUUUUCUUAUAGCGCAUACGCGAUUAAUGGAUACACAUUUUAUACCAAAGAACAAGAUGAUAAAAGUACUAUGCAGAAUAGUGGUGUCACCGUGGUAGCUAAGCAAUGCACAUAUCAAAGUGUGAAGGACUUAAACCCCAAAUUUGCAAAUAUGUCGUAUUUUGGUGUUAUCGAGCGCAUUUGGGUGUUUGAUUAUGAGAAGUUUCAGAUUCCUAUAUUGUUGCAAGUGGGUUGAAAAAUAAUAACGGCAUUCGAAUGGAUAAGUCAAGAUUUUGCAAGUGGAUCUUAAUAGGGUGGGAUACAAAGAAUGAGUUUUUAUUCUAGCCUCUCAAGCUAGACAAGUGUUCUAUGUCAAUGAUCCGAAAAGUAUGAAAUGGUCUAUAGUUCUUUUUUCCAACAAAGUAAUUGAUGAAAACACUGGAGAUCAAGGUGAUAUUGAUGUUGAGAUUGAAUCGUUUACCAGAAAUGAUCAAGAUGAGAAUAUUAAUCAAAUGAUUCAUAUAUUAGAAAUGAUCAUAAUGAGGGUAUUUGGAUCAAUCCAACCGUCCGUGUUGUUAAGAGCAUGUGAAACAUAUUCCAACCAAGAAAAGAAAAAGAACUUAGUGAAAAAGGUACAGGUCAAAUGAUUUAAUUGUUCUAUUACAAAGGUAAAAUGGCUUUUAUGAUUUUAAUUGUUUUUGUAUUUGUCAUCUGAUUUUAAUUGUUUUCUUUAUUACAGGUAAAAUGGCUCUUAUGAAGUCAUCAUUCGUGCAAGGGGCAAGGGAUACUUGAAAGUAUCAAUUGAUAUUUGUUUAGAUGGAGAUGUUCCAUUGUCGUCAAGCCUCAUUCGCGUAGAUGAUGAAUGCUGGAUAUUUGAAAGUAUCCCUCUACGACAAUGGAACAUGUCCAUCUAAACAAAUAUCAAUUCUAUCUUCAAAGAUAAGGGACCAAAAAUAUAAGGGGAUUACGCAGCAAAUCGAGUCAGUUGCAUAAAAAAAAAAAGGUAUAACACAAUUAUAUGAUAUUUAUGCAUAGAAAAUGUUAAUUCUUGAUCUUAUACUUUCACCUAACUAAUUUUAUGAUAUUUUUAGGUUCAUGCUAUUGAAUUGAACAAAAAGAGGUUGUUGCUAAGAAGACUGCGGCUAGCAAAAAAAACAUACAUCUCAGAGAUGCUUUUGCUACUUAGUUUUAUUUCUUUUAAAGUUAUGAAUUGGUUGUAUAUUUAGAAUCUUAGAAGUUAAACGAUUAUAUCAGUGGAUUGUUGUAUAUGUAUGGAUUGUUGUAUAUAAAGGCUGUUGAAUGCAAUGUGUGAAAAAGGGCUUCAAAUUAUACAGUUUUGGGUGUACUGCUUCAAUAUACAGGUUGUCAAAAUAAAUAAAUAAAUAUAGCGCUUUUUAAAAAAAAUAAUUAAUAACCACCCACUUUAGAGAGCGCUUUCCAAAAUAACGCCCUCUAAACCCUUAAAAGUUUCCACUUUAGAGGACGCUUUCCAGUAAAAGCGCCCUCUAAACCCUUAAAAGUUUCCACUUUAGAGGGCGCUUUCUUUAAAAAGCGCCCUCUAAAGUGGCCCUUAAAGGGCUUAAAUAACCACUUUAGAGAGCGCUUUCACCAGGAAAAAAAGCGCUAUCUUUACCUAUGCCAGCGCCAGAUUAGAGGGCGCUUUAAAGCGCUGUUAUAGGCCAAAAAAAGCGCCCUCUUUUCCCUUAUUUGGCGUAGUGAAAAGAAACAAAGUUAUACAUAGAUAUACUUUUGGUAUUUUGGUUGGUAAAUAAAGAAAAAUAAAGUAUGAUACAAUCAAAUAUGUUUGGUGAUCUCUCCCCAUGCAAACCUAAUGAAUGAGGGGUAAGGAGGAUACCAAUGUGUGAUCCCAAAGUCAAUACAAAUGAUGAGAUAUCAUGAGGGAUCUUAGGAUCAAAAUUGGAGUCUUACAAUUAAGGCAGUUAUACACUAUAUACUAUUGUGUAUAUAUUGUCUCUUUUGAACAAUGUAAGAGUCAGGUUGGAGAUUUAUAAUAAUCCACUUCAUUAUUCAAUUUAUUUCCCCCUUUUUCAUAUGUCCAAUGGAUGAAUUACGUGAAAAAAGAUUACUAAUUAUAUGUAUAUUGCUUAUUUAUAAAUAUUUAUAUAAAUAAAUAAACAAUGAUUAUUUUUGAAUUUUGUGUGUUCCUUAUUAUUAGGAAUCAAUUUUAAAAUUGGAACAUAACGUCCAAAUUCUUUGAGAUGAUCUUGAUUAUGAUUGAUCAAAUAAUUCUUAGACAAGACAAAAACUUGAUAAAUAAAUGAAUUCUAGAAGAUAAAAUUAUGAAAAAGAUAAUAAUUGUAUGAGUUAAAUUUUAACCAAAAUAUUUCUUAAUAAUUGUGGGAGAGAUACCUUAUUCACACAAAAUAAAUCCCAUUGAAAAAAUAAUCUGAUGUUAAUUUGUGUUCAUGUAGUUCUAACAACAACUAAAAAAACUCAUAUCUAUGUAAUUACUACUAACAACUUCCUCUAUCCUAAUAUCGAGAAAAAGAGAAAGCACUAGACAAACUUAAUUCAAAUUAUUGGUGAUUUUUUUUAUAAAAAGAUAUAUUAUCAUAUUUUAUUUUACAACAUUAUAUUAAAAAAUUUAACAAUAUUAAUAUUAUUUAUAACUAAUUCUUUUGAUUAGUUGUUCAAUUUUUUUUAAUCAGAGAUCCAUUUUUAUUAUUUGUUCAGGACCUUUAAAAAUUCAAGAUCAAUAUUUUAAUAUAUAUAUAUAUUAUAAUAUAUAUAUAUAUAUAUAUAUAUAUUAUCGAUGAAGUACAAGAAUUCAGAAAAACAAACAGAAGGAUAUAAUAAAUCCAUGAGCAAAACCCCACAGAGAAUAUAAGCAUUAACUUUAUUUUAUGUAAACCAUUGUUUUUCUUCAAUUAUUUUUAUUCAUAAUACAUUUUAUUAGUGAGGAAAUUGUUUUGUUGUUGCAUGGGGUGCCAACAUAUUCUCAUUGGCAUAAAUCCUUUAAUUCACAUUAAUUAUAUAUAUAUAUUAUAUAUUAUAUAUAUAUAUAUAAUAUAUAUAUAUAUAUAUAUAUAUAUAUAUAUAUAUAUAUAAUAUAUAUAUAAUAGAUUAGCUAGGAUUUAAGCAAUGCCGUUAUAUUUUUUUUAUGAAAUAAGUAUAGUGAUAUACAAAAUAAGUAUAUUGAUAUUCAAAAUAAUGUGCACUAUGACUAUUAUUAUACUACUAAUAAUUAUAUUUAUUAAAAAUACCCCUUUCUAUUUUCAAAGGUUGAAACCAUAGUUUAAAAAUAUUAAAUUCCAAUGAAUAGCAAAUUUUUUACAUGACCGUUUCAAUAAAUAUGUUAAAGAGAAAAACACAACACAUGAAAAAAUUAUAAUUUUAGGAAGUGAAGUUCACAACUCCUAAAGGAUACAAAUAUUUUAUUGUUUUUCAACACAACCUUCUCUUUAUACAAUUCAAAUAAUAUUCUAUUUGUUGUGUGUAAAGAGAGAAAAAUAUGACUAAAACUCUUAUGAUUGUGUAUAUUAUGGUUUCAUUUCUCUUUCUCUUUCUAAUUGCAAGGAAUAAUGGCGCCAGUAAUUUAUUUUCUUGUCAUUUUAAAAUUUCCUUCUAUAAACUUUUAUCUUUUGUAUUAUGUUACUAACAUUAUUUUACUAUGUUUUUUCAUUACAGCACCAGCAGCAAUUGAUUGUAUAACGGAUGCUGAUUGUCCAAAUAGAACUCAAAUUUUCAGGUAUAAGUGUGUUAACAAGAAAUGUAAAGGUACUAGAGUGACAUCAAUCACUCUACUAUAAGAUAAACUUGAUGAAUUAAAAAAGCUUCUAAUUAAAUUAAAUAAAAAAUGAUGAACAAGUUCUACAAGUAUACCAAAGUCACUGUCAUGUAAUAAACUACAUUUGUAUCUCUACUAAGAUUGUAUUUUCAUCAAUAGUAAUAUUUAUUUAUAUUUUACCACCCUUGCAAUUAAUCGCUUUGACUCUAAGAUCUUUGAAUUAAGUGAUUUUUUUUUAUGUAUCGACAUGGGAACCAAUUAAGGCAUAUAAUAAGAUAUUAAAUUAAUUAUAAUAUAUAUAAUCGAGAUUAUAUAAAAAUAGCAGAUAAACGGAUAACAAGUUGUGAUGUUAUCCUUUUUUUGGAUGACAAAAUUAUUCCUCUUAAAAUUUAUAUUUAUUGUCUUAUGUGACACAACAUGCUAUGCAUGAGCCUUUGCAUUUUCGGUAAAAGAUUCACUGCUCUUUCGCUGUCGCAUACAUGGUGUUUGUUAAAACUCCUAAACCAGAAUUAUUUUCCAUUGAGCAGGGGAGAAGCACAUUUUUGUUUGUCCUAUGGUUUCUACUCAGAUUGGAUGUUUGCGUUGUCCAUUGCGAGAGUUUCAUUGUUGCCCUGAUGGCAAGGAUGGGAGCAAAGUUAUUUCUCGUAUGGUGUCUCAUCUUAAGACGCUACAUGUAUGUAGCGAAGAACGCGAAAACACAAUUCGAGAAGGUAUUCAGAGUGAUUCAAAUUUGUUUACGGCAUUGUAGGAGAACUUAAUCGGAGUUGGGCAAUGGAUAUGCGGAAGGUGCAUGAGCAUUCAUGCCAUAAGUUGAACAUGUCAUCGUCCUGAUGGUCUGAUUCAGGUUACUCUUGAGAGAGCGGAGGUCGAAAGUCACAUUAUGGGUAUUGUUAAACCAUCUACAAUAGACUUUGAUAAUCAUGAUGAAAAUAAGGGGAUUGUAUACGACCCAAGAUUGCUAGAGCGAGUCUUCAAAAAAUCUAGCUUUAUUGUAAAGAGAAUACCUUUUAAGUGUCGUCGUGCUUUCUCUUAGGAAUUGAAAGAUGUGCUCCUCAAGGUGGUUGUUGAGACAAGAUCUAUAGAUAAUUAGGUUUGGUUGUUACUUCUUCCUCGUUGCACUUUGCAGGUGGUCAAACUUCAUAAUAGACGGGAUUGUAGGUCUGAGAAUCGGAAAGCCUUGCAAGAACAUCAUAUUUUAAAGUGUUUAACUACUUUGAAGGAUGCAUAUGGUCUUGCCAAGUUAGUUGAUAUUGUUUUUUGAAGCUCUAAGAAAUAUAAGUUGGGACAUGAGGGAUUUUAUAUUGAGGAGAAAUAUGCAAAGGUGAGCUCUAACGUCAAGUAAUGCCUCUAUAAGAUUGUAGAUGGUCAUUUCACAUCAGUUGUGAAUGUGUUGGGGUCAUAUGGUGUGGGGUCAUAUGGUGUGGCGCCCUAUAAUGCACAUACUAUGAAGGCUUUGGAGGGUAAACACCCGUACAAACCACCUCCCUCAAUGCCGACUAAUUUGUUCUCUGAAUCUCCUCUAGUGGUUGAAGUUGAUAUUGUCUUCAGGUGCAUUAAGUCAUUCCCCAAAGAUAAUUCAUGUGGUAGAGAUGGUUUACGAGCUCAACAUUUAUUGGACGCAAUGUGUGGAGAAGGUUAUGUUGUGUCUAGAGAUAUCUUAUGUGGAAUCACUCUAGUUGUUAACAUAUGGUUGGGAGGGAGAUAUCCGAUGAGUUUGGCAAAGUUUGUUGCCUCAACAAUUUUGACGUAGUUAUUAAAGCCUGAUGGUGGGAUACGACCAAUUGUUGUGGGUUCUAUUUGGAGACGGUUGGUAUCCAAGGUUACAAUGAAAUGGGUCAGUAAGGAUAUGGCACGAUAUCUCAAUGAAUUACGGGUUGGGAUAGGGGUAUCAAGUGGUACUAAGGCCAUUUUUCACAGUGUCGACAUCGUGUUGAGCAAGCGACACUAAAAUGGCUCUUUGACUAUGCUCACAGUAUAUUUCAUGAAUGCUUUAAACUUGAUAGAUCGACCAACUAUUUUUCAAGGGGUGAUGGUGAGAUGCCUAUAUAUUUCCUUGUAGGUUAAAUUUCUCUAUGGUCACUUAUCAUGGUUAUACCUUAGGGAUGGGUAUAUUAUAUCAACCACUAGAGUGCAACAAGGUGACCCAUUAUGACCACUCCUUUUUGCCCUUGUGUUAAAUCCACUUAUUAAUCAAACCAGUGGCAAUUGUAAGAUUCUUCUUCAUGCCUCUUACAUUGAUGAUGAUACCAUCAUAGAGGAUUCAAUGGAGGUGGCUAAAGCCUUUGACAUCAUUUGGGAGACCGAUUCAUAAUUAGGUCUCGAAUUGAAUAUUCAUAAAAUUGAGAUCUUUUAGCCUUCGUGUGAUGAAACUAAACUUUACGGGGAGUUAUUUCCUUCAGACAUUGGCAGGGAUAUGUUGGGGAUGAAUUUGCUUGGAGGGACUAUUAGUCGAGAUGAAGGCUUUAUCGAGGGGUUGUCAAUGAAGAUAGUGGUUAGGGUUGUUGAGCUCGUGUGUCUUCUGCCACAAAUAAGAAAUCCUCAGACUGAGCUUCUCCUAUUUUGUUCUUGCAGGGGUAUCGCCAAACUCGUUUUUGGCCUUAGAUCAUGUCAAACUAAUGAUACAGAGAAAUAAUCUAUUUGGUUUGAUAAAGAGUCGUGAAGGGAAGUUGAAGACAUUGUGGUUGGUAGAGGUCCUUUCUUCGGGGAAAUUCAAUGGAUAAUGGCUUAUUUACCUAUUAGAGUUGGGGGAUUAGGUUUGUACUCAGCAACAGAGGCUACCUCAUGUGAUUUUGUGGCUUUUAGGGCCCAAUUUUGGGUGUUACAAGAUCAUAUAUUGAGAGACAGUGGGAUAUAUGAUAUGUACCUUGAUUACGAUAGAGCUUUGGAUGGUCUUAGUGAUGUGAAUCUAGGUUUUGACCUUAUCACUUUUACUAGAAAGGGCAUCAUACCUCCCAAAGCACAACAUGUUUUGGUGAUUUCCCUUUUUAGUAAAAGUGUUCAGAACAUAAAUGUAAAGUUUGACAUGACCACAAGUUGGAAAGCAGUUUUUGGUUGUUUACAAGAAACACAUGCUCAAUAUUUUCUCCUUGAUAUCCCUAUUGAUGGUAUUGGCCAACAUAUAUCAUUGGUAGAGUUCUAUACCAUCUUAGAUAUCGGCUUAUGAUUCCCUUAUUUAUUAUUGAUAAGGUUUUCCUUGUUUUCUGCAAGGCGUGCAUGGAUACAUUUGGGGAACAUGUUAUUCAUUGCAAGUAGCCUCUAGAACUCAAAUAUCGAUAUGACUUUGUUAGGAAUGUCCUAUUUCAUAUAUUUAGACGUGUAGGGGUAUUCGUGAAGAAAGAGGCACAUGUGAAUUUCUUGACUGAUCCAUGAAAAAGGAGAUCAACUCUUAGUCCAACAUGCGUUUUAGGGUAUGGGUGGGUAGGAGGAAAACAUGCAUUUGUAGACUUGAUCGGGGUUUUCCCAAUGGCGGUACUGAGGACUGGAGGUUUUAUUAUGGGACAGACAGCUCAUAAAUUUGUUUAAAGUAAAAUGGUCAGACAUGAGAAAGCGUGUUCCAACAAUCAACAUGCUUUCAUACCAUUUUCCUUUGACACUUUUGAUUUUCUAGCACCAAAAGCAAUGUAUAUUAAAAAGUUAAAAUGAAAAUAAUAUUUAUUUAAAAUUCAUAACUUUACUAUCAUAUCAUAAUAAUGUUAUACUUUUGAGUUUUCAAAUAAUUUAAAUCAUACUUCUCGUGAACGGAGAGUUCAUCAAAUCAUUUCAUUCUUCUAAGUAGAAAUAUUUGAUUCUAAAGAAUCUAAAAGGAUUGUUUAUCCAACGUCUGGUCAUAUAUUAUUUUUACAUUUUAUCUUAUAAAAUAGUGGUUCUUAACAUAUAUUCCAACAAUAAAUUGUUCCUUUUCAAUUGACCAUUUAUCUGAGGUCGAUAAGAUUAUAUCGUACUUCGUUUUAUUUCUCCUAUCCCUUGAAGGACUUUCCUAAAUAUAGAUAAAAUCUUAAAUCUCUUUCUGAUACAUCCUUUGAAGGCACUCCAUGUAACUAUAUAAUGCAACCUAAGAGGGGGGUGAAUUAGGUUUAACUAUAUUUUCUCGAUUUAAUAUAACGGUUUGCGUGUUCUUAUUUUUUCUUGAACUUUUUGAUGAACUUGGAAAGUAAAAUGCAUAAAAUAAAUGUUGAAAUAUAAAGAACACAAUAUAUACCUUGAUUCCCCUUUCAAAACAAGGGUUCACUAUGUUAGAAAUGUUACAGUCGAUCCACGAGACUCUCUUAACUUUCUAACACAAUCACAAAGGCAUCACAUCCCACCUUAUGAUAUUACAAAUACAAAGAGAAAGAGCCCUACUUUCUCUCUAAUACACUUGUUACCAACAAUCCGGUGUACAAGUAACAUAAUAUUGAUACAAUGUUACAAAAAAUUUGAAUAAAAAAUAUACGUACAAUAGAAUUUUGAUACCAUAUCAAAAUCCUAACAAAGUUGUUAUUCCCUUUCAAAUAUGACAACUCAAAUAUUCACUCUAAUUGCUCAAGAACUUAACUCUGAUUAAUAUGAAAUUGUAUGCAAAAAUUUCUUGGAAAAUAAUAAUGUAACAAUGAAUUGAAUUAUUUAGAAAAUAUUUGAAAGAGCUAAUUUAAAAUGAGAAAAAUUAUGCAUUUUAUAACCAAGAAACCUCUUGGAAAACAUGGCAAUGUUUUAGAAAAAAAACAUGAAUAAUCAUGCACUAAUUUAGAAAAGAUGCAAUAAUCAAGUGCCAUGAAAUGGUAUUAAUAACUGUCGCAUCCGCGAAAAACAACCGGCGGGCUGAAACAAAAACAACACAGAGCCGCCACCGUGCGUUAUUUAUCCCAAAAGAGGGAAAGGAAACGCUCAGAGUAAACCCGGAAAAAGCAUGGUCUUGCGACCAAAGAGAAAGGGUACGGGAGUCGGUUAUGCGAAGGGAAGGUAUUAGCACCCCUACGCAUCCGUCGUACUCGACGGGAUCCACGCUCUAGAAGAAAGAAAAGGUUGCUAAAACAAACACCACACACACACACACCGAAAACAACACAGGUGGGGAAGAGGAAAGAGGGCUCGCUAGGACAUCGCGUCAUAUGCCUACGUAUCUUGUCUGAAACGAGAAUCAGAGCUGCCGUAGUUCGGCUCACGCACGCCAAACAAACAAACACACAAACAGGCAAACAUGGCAAACACACCCACACUGGAACCCGAAUGCCACUUGAUGGACUUACAUCAGCUUCCAAGCACACAACAAGACACGGGAUAUGGAAUGUCAAUCGCUGGGCUUACAUCCAUCUCCUGACACACACAAAAAUAAAACAAAACAGGCGCCCGGAGAGAUCUGUUCAUCUCCGGCCUACGUACCUCAUCUGGUAUGAGGAUCAGGGUGACGUAGUUCCCCUGAACGGGAAAGAAAUUCUAGCCAGAUACAAAGGGAGACACACUACUAGGGAGCUGUACUCGAGCCUAGAUGUUAUCAUGCAUCAUUGCCCUAUGUUAAGUUUUCUAUCUACUUGCACAACAGCAAGCUAAUCCUAUCCAGGAAAAGCAAGCAUGCAAGCAUAAGCAAAACAAAUAAUCACAAAUAGCACACACUAUAUCCACACAAGUGAGGCUCAAACAAGGGUGAGGCUGCUAGAGCAAGCCAACUGUACAGGGUAGUGUUCGCUCUUAACCCUGACAUUGAGAGUCAGGGAAGCAGAUGAAAGGUGAGUGAAGAUGAGACUUCACAACUCUUAUCCCUGGCCAGGGAGAGCUUCAGACAAAGGAGCGUGGGUUCAGAAAGUGGGAACCCUUCUACGCUCACGACUCUGACUCAACUGUACAACUGUACAAGAUCUUGGGUUAAGUCCCAUGCACAAACACAGUGGUGUGAGCAGAGGGACGACUCAACAAGAAUAGCAGGGGAUGGAUUGCACAUCCCUUGGGUUCUGCCAAUUGCCUUAAUCAAGGACUUUUCCUGCUUGGGGACAAAAAUAAACAAGCACAGACACUGCCUCUUAAGGAGGACUUCAGACAGUUGCCUGGCCAAGUAACAGGCCAGGUCUUCCAGACUACAUGGAGUUAGAGUGUUCUACCUCUAUUGGUUAAGCAACCAAGAAAUAGCAAGCGAGUUCAAAAAGAACUGUUAGCAACUAAUGUACCUGAAAUCAAUCAAAUAUCAUCAGUAUACCAAUCACAAAGUCAAAACAAACAACAUAAAAGCCAACAAACAAUGUACAAUCAAACACAUGUGCAAAGCACAAGUCCAAAGCAAGUGAGCUAGGCAUCCUGUAAAACAAACAAGUUAGUUCACAACAAGCAACCAAACUCAAUCAACUUGCAUUAAUCUCCUUAAAGCAUUUGCUUCUUAACCUGAAAAGCAAACUCAAACAUGAGAAACAAGACCACUAGGCCAAGCCUAGGGUCAAAAGGAGGUAAAAAAUCCAAAACAGCAAGUGAAAAUUGAUCAAAACCAAGAUAAAUCAAUCAAAAAGAGAAUCCAAUUGGUCUCACAUCAAAACUAUACACCAAAUCCAUUUCAUGAAUAAAACAUGUCAAUUGAAACACAUUGGUGUAAACAGAAUGAUCACAAUCAAAUCAAUACCAAAACAACUCAAUAAAUUCCACAAAAAUUCAAGUCUAAACAGAACACAUUCAAUGAGCAUCAUAUCAAAUUUCAUGCCAUUUGGACAAGAGUAAGUAGGUCAAUGAAAAUCAAAAAGUCCAGACAAGUUCAAGCAAACCAACACAUAGCAUCAAAAUAAGCACCAACUUCCAUCAAUCAUAAAACAGCAACCAACCAUGAUAAAUGAAUGGGAUCAAAGCCAAGAUGACCAAUAAUGUGUCUAGAAUGCUCAUGUCAAAUUUCACAUCCAUCCAAUAAACCAUAAGGAUUUCACAAACCAAAUACAAACAUGUGUCACAAAAAAUCAACAAAUGACCAAACAGGGGAGAAAAUUCCAAUCAAAUAGGAAAUGCCAUCAAUAAAUCCAGAAAACUUCCCAUGUAUUCUCAACAUCCCUAUGCUCAAUCAUGCAAAAAUUCAACUCAAUCCAAUGUCCCUAAGCAUGGCAAAUAAAAUCAUGAAUUUGCACAAUGAAUGGUGUGACACAAAUUAUCACACCUCUAUUCAAAAAAUUAUAUCUCAUCAACCAGGGAUCCAAAAAUUGCAAACCACAUAUCAAAAUCACCAGCAAAGAGUCAAGAAUAGGCAUGAAAAAUUUCAAACAUUUCUAUGGAAGCAUCAAGAUUUUAUGAUCAAAAUGGUGAGCAUGGUACACAAAGCAUACAUUCAAACAAUCCCUAGGCAUUUUUAAAAUUCACACGUGCACAAAAAUAUUAAAAAUCAUCAUAAAAAACUACACAUCACAAGGAGAAUGGUGAAAAAAACCUCAUCAAAUUUGGACAAGAAAUGAAGAACUUAUGGAUUUUUGAAGAUGCAAGACCAAAAUGAAAUGAAAAAUGAAAAAAGAAAAUGAAAUAAUGUGAUUAAAUGUCACAAUGGCAAUUUUGUAAAUAUCUGGUAAAGAAACCAAACGCGGCGUUUUCAUUAAACGCGGUGGCGCCAUCUGAUUGGCUGUAGCUCGCGGGAAACACCAUUUCAAAAAUGAAAGCCAGGUGCAUGGAUCAAACAGAACUGGAAACGCGUUCUUCAUCAUUCAUCAACAUUCAUCAAUUCCAGAAAAUCAUCAAGAACAUUUUCUAACUAAAAUCAUCGUGCCAUAUAUCAUUGGAUUCGUCUUUCCACCUAGAUCAUGGAUAUGAACUUAAUUUCUCCUAAUUCUACUCAUGCUUCACGGAUCGAGCGAAAUAAGUUUCACAUUCAAAUGUUCAAAUCCAAAUAUCUCAUUCAAUUCUCAAUGAUUUUCAAAACUAUAAGUUGCAGUGCACUCUAUGAUCAGAGACCUAUAAGAACCAUAUCAUAAUUUAAGCAAUGAUUGAGAUCGAAUUCUGACCUUAUGAAUGAAGCAGGUGAUGAUUCGUGCGUUUCAAGGUCCCUAAUGCCAAAACAGAUGAAGAUUGAUGAUGUGGAAGUUGAAUGAAGUACGUGUCUCAACUCAAUUGCGCACCAGAUUGAAGAACUUUCAAGAUGCCAUGGAUGAUCAAGCUUUCAACAGUCCAAUUCCUUAAUGUUAUGCCACGAUUUUGUUGAAACAGAUGUACACAAGCACUUGUAGAUGAUGGAUCCAAAAAGAAACAGCAAGAAGAUUGAUGAACUUGCAAUGAAAAAUGAUGAAAAAGUGUGAAAAGAUUUGGAGAAAAUUGAGAGGUUUUUGGAGGGAAAGUUUGUUAGAUCUGAAAUUGUGAAAUGUGAUUAUGCAUUUUCUGUUAUGAUUAAUGUUUUAUACAAAAUUGAGAGGUUUUUGGAGGGAAAGUUUGUUAGAUCUGAAAUUGUGAAAUGUGAUUAUGCAUUUUCUGUUAUGAUUAAUGUUUUAUACCACAUGCUAAUCCAAGUGCUAAUCACAAUUAGCAAAUUGGAAUGAAUUAGUGAAAUGUAAUUUUAAGCAUAAAUGUCCAAAAUGGCCUUUUGCAAAAUCAUCCAAUGCAACAGUAAAAACCAGUUCAAACAAGUCACAUUGGAUGUUUAUGAUGUGUUGGAAUAGGCUUUGUAUGGAAAUCACAUGUAUUUUGGAAAUUCACCAUUUUUUCCACCAAUUUUCAAAUAGUUCACUUGAAAAAUGACAUUUUGCUAUGAUGAUUUUUGAUGAAAUGUGAUGAUGCAUCAUGAAAGUACAUGUAAAAUGUGGUUUGCUCAAAGAAAGAUCACCCAAUUUGGCCAUUCCAUUCAAAAGUUAUGGCACUUUGAAUUUCAACAUUUUCUGAAAAUGAUUUGAUCACAACUUGCCAACCGCACAUGAGAAGUUCAUGUUCUUGGACUUUUUGGAAAGGUGAGAGCAAGAUCUACAACUUUCAUGUUGGACAAAAUUUCAUUUGAAGCAUUAUUGGACAUGUAAUUUUGAGGUGGAAAACUUUCCAUUUUUGGUAGUUUCCAAUUACAGGUCACCUGCUAUUUUUGGAAACUUUUCAUCUGACUUUAUUUUCUUCAUUCUUGAUGUUUGAAAUGUCAAAUGAAACUUGUUUAGACAUGAAUGAAGUGUCUCUUGCCCUCUCCCACCUCCAAAUCCAUCAAUUCAGGCACAGUUGACCACAGUUGACUUUUUUGACUGAUAGAUGAAUUUGGCCAUGCACCGAUCAAGUUGAGCCUCAAACUCCUGAUGAAAUGGCUCAAUGAUGAAACCCUAGCCUCCACAAGCUCAAUAUAAUCAUGAAAUGAUUCCCAUAUCCAUUGUAGACCCCAUCUCCUUGCCAUGCCCUGAUUGGCCCAAUACAACUGAUUAGGGUUGACCAGUGGUCAAAACCCUAAUCCCAAGGUAUCUGAUAACAAGACCAUGAUGAUGAUGAUGUAUCAUUUCAACCAAGAUGAAGAUCAAUCUCCUUGAGAACCAAGAAACCCUAAUUUGUAGCACAAUCCUCAGAUGAUUAAUGAUCAGUCCAUAAACCCUCAGGCUUGAACCUCAACCUCUUCAUCUUCUGACCAAGACUUAUGAGGAUGACUUGCACAAUGUAACCACAUGAUAUGCAAAGAUGCAACGAUUAAUGACCUAAAAAAUGCAAUGCAAUAUGUUAAGCUAGUCCCAAGAUAGGAGGGCAAAUUUUGAGGUAUUACAAUAACAUCCAGAAUUUUUCAAAGUUUCAUCUGUGACAAUUGAUUGCAAUGAAAUGAAAAUCAAUUGUCUUAAGUGUAACGUUCAAAAAUAUCCAAAAUUGAACUAUGUAAAUCGAUUUUACUUCCCUCAACAAUCGAUUGUCAUGCUUAGAAAAUUUAUUUUUUGGAUGGCGAAAUGAUAUGACAAUUAUGUGACAAUCGAUUGCAGCCUAGUGACAAUCGAUUGUCACCUUGAAAAAAUUGAAAAUUUUCUAAGUCUUUGAAACCUUAAUGCAAAAACUUAAAGAAUGAUCUUAGAUGAAUAUGCUUGAGCACUUGUACCUUGAUAAUCAUUCAAUCCUUUGAAUCAAAACAUUGAUCUUGAUCAUAACCAUCCAUUGAAGCUUGACUUCUUUAACUUGACUUGAGCAUACACAAUCUUGACAUUCUUUCCAUAUAUUUGUCUUCAUCAAAACAUAGUAUCAAAUGUAAGCUUGCUUUCACAAUCUCCUCCUUUUUGAUGAUGACAAGUCCAUAUUAUGAUGUUUGUGCAUUUUUCAGAAUAUUCCCUUACGAUGAAUAAACCCCCCUUAAUCCAAGAGUAUUUGAGUACUUAAUGUCACGACCUAGAUAAAAAUGAAUAAACCCCCUCUUAGUCUAAGAGUAUUUGAGUACGAGGGUCAUACUUGACUUUCAUCUUACCGUUGUAGAUUUUUGGAGCAAUGUGAUAUUCAGGAGGACGCAUUUCAAUAAGAUUUUCAUCUGUGAGAUUAAUGUUGCAUCUUCUAAAAACCAUUGAUAUAAAACAUGCAUUAGGCAAACCUUUUGAAAACACAUUUCUAUUUUUCAUAUGAUGCAUAAUUACACAUGUCCAGUUGACCUGUAAGUUGUUGUUUAUAGCAUAUAUAAGCCGCAUCUCAGUGUCAGUAAUGAUAGAAUGAUUAGAGAAAUUUGGUACCAACAUAUAAGCCAGAUAAUGAUGGAUCAUUUGGUCAUUUAUUGUAAGGAUACCGGUGGACCAUGAGUUGCGUUCAGGAAGUUUUCCAGCAUCUUUUUCCUUUUUUGAAUAAACUCAUGUUCAUAUAUCCUAACUAUCAUAUAAUAGAUGUCCUUUUUCAUAAAACCAAGCAAUUGAGCAUCAAGGUUUAAUUUAAUUUUCACACCCAUCAUAUGGUAUACCUAGACAUUCUCCUAACUCGUUUACUGAGAAGGAGAUAAGGACACCCUUCACAUUUUAACUUAUCCUAUCAUCCUUAACUUUCAUGUUACGAUAGAAUACUCUAACUAAAUCAGGAUAAUAUGUUCCAUAACUUCCAAUCAAUUAAGCAAAUUUCUAAUUUCUUAUUUGAAGAGGAAAACUAAAAUAGGGAGAAUGAAAGUUACCAAGACCAUCAAACCUUUGUGCAAUUUAGAGUUUUGGUUUGGAAGAAAUCCACAAACUGUUGUCUUUGUUUGAAUACGGAAUUUUUAUAAAUCAUUUCCUUGAAGAAGACAUAUUAUUGAUGAAGAGUAAGAGUUGAACCUUUAAUGGAGUUUGUGAAACUUUGGAGAAGAUGAAGUUUGAAAAGUGGAGCCCUUUUUUGCGUAAAAGGUUGCGCCUCUUUUUACUAUAGAGGGAGAUAAAAAAAAUUGAAAAAUGGGGCGGCUAGGGUUUGACCACAAGUGAGAGUCCUUUGGCUUUUAUAGUGUGGAGAAAGAAGAAUGAUGAUUGGAAUAGAAUUCGAUAAAAAAAUUGAAAAUUUUGUUAGCGAUAAUCGAUUGUAAGGACCUGUCAAUCGAUUUCCUCAAAAAAGUGGAAGGAUUCUGUUUUUAAAAAAAUGAAGUUUGCACGCAUGACAAUUGGUUGCACCUAUAUGACAAUAAAUUGUCACAACUUUCAUAAACUCUAUGUUCUAAUUUUUCUUUUUGCAAUUUCCGUGCAUGACAACCGAUUGCAUGACUAAUUUUUUUUGAGAAAUUCAUAAAAUUUGCAGAAUAUAUAUAUAUAUAUAUAUAUAUAUAUAUAUAUAUAUAUAUAUAUAUAUAUAAACACAUAAUUAGAAUUUAUUAAGAAAUAUAGUUAUGUUAAUUCACAAAUGGAAUUGUGAAUUCACUUAAGUAUGCAUACCUUUAGAUAUCACUCUCAUUUAGAAUUCUGAGUUCUCAUCGAAUUUUGAAGAAUGCAUCUUUUGGUAGAGGCUUGGUAAAGAUAUCAACUAAUUGAUUAUAUGUGUCUAUGAACGAUAUCUCCAUAUCGCCUUUGAGUACAUGAUCCCUUAAGAAGUGAUGUCUUAUGUCAAUAUGCUUGAUUCUUGAAUGCAUGAUCGAACUUUUUGAAAUGUUGAUCGCAUAAUUUUUUAACAUUUCAAUGAGAUGCACCCUAGGUUUACAUAGUAAUCACAAAGUAGUUGCUUUAGCCAAAUUAUAUGUGCACAACUUCCAGCAGCAAUAUAUUCUACUUCUAUGGUACUAAGUGCCACACAAGCUUUCUUUUUACAUGACCAAGAUACUAGAGAAUUUCCUAAAAUAUGACAAGUUCCACUAGUGUUUUUCCUAUACGUCUUACAUCCUACAUAAUCUGAAACAGAAAAACCAACAAGACUACAUACACAGUCUUUGGGUACCAUAACCCGACAUUGGUUGUCCCUUUGAGAUACUUACUUAUUCUUUUCACAAUAGAGAGAUGAGAUUCCUUUAGAAAUGUUUGAUAACCUGCACACAAUCAUACACUAAACAUGAUAUUAGGAUGAAUUGUUGUUAGAUAUAACAAAGAAUCAACCAUACCUUGAUAUUUGGUGAUAUCAACUGGAACAUCAGAUUCGUCUUGAGCAACAUAUGUGCUAGAUCCCAUUGGUGUAGCAAUUUCUUUGCAAAUAUCCUUGUCAUAUCAUUUAAGAAGCUCUUUACAAUACUUAGAUUGAUUGAUGAAUAUGUCAUUAUUUUCUUGUUUAAUUUGCAACCCAAGGAAGUAUUUAAAUUUACCCAUCAUGAACAUAUCACAUUCGUCUUUCAUUAUGGAUGGAGAUUCUACACAUAAGAAUUCAUUAGUGGAUCCAAAUAUGAUGUCAUCUACAUAGAUUUUCACUAAGAGAAUGUGUUUAUUAAUUUUUUUGAUAAAGAGAGUAGUGUCAACUUUACUCUUUUUGAAGCCUUUUUCAUAAAGAAAAUUACUUAACAUGUCAUAUCAUGCUCUUGGUGCUUGCUUAAAUCCAUACAAGGACUUUUUGAGUUUUUACACAUGAAAUGGAUGUUUGAAGUCUUCAAAUCAUGGUGAUUGACUUGAAUAAAAUUCUUCAAGUAUAUGUGCAUUAAAGAAUGCAUUUUUGACAUCCAUCUAGUAUAACUGAAAAUUCAAAGAACAAGCAUAUGCUAACAAUAAUCUAAUUGCCUCUAGUCUAUCAAUAAAAUAAAAUGUUUCCUCAAAUUCUAUACAUUCCUCUUGAUUAUAGCCUUGGUCCAUUAAUAUUGUUUUAUUCGUUAUGAUGAUACCAUUUUCAUCUAGCUUAUUUUUGAAAAUCCAUUUAGUUCCAAUGAUAUGCUUAUUUUUUAGUAUAGGAACCAAAUCCCAUACUUUGUUUCUUUCAAAUUUAUUUAGUUCCUCUUGCAUAGCUAGAAUACAUUGGUCAUCAUCUAAGGCUUCUUUUACUUUAGAAGGGUCAACUUGAGAAACAAAUGCCAUGUUUAGGAAAACAUCUUUAAGAUCUAUACACGUAUAGACUCCCUUAUUUAUGUCUCCAAUGAUGUUAUCAAUAUGAUGAUCUCUAUGUGCUCUCCAUUCUCGAGGGAUAUUAUUUUGGUUCUUCUCAUGUUGAAUGAUUUCCUCUUUGUGUCCGGACUGUUCAAUAUUAUCAUCUUUGGAAAUGCCAUCUAUAGGAAUUUCUAAAAUAUCAUCAUCAACAUUACAUACAACUAUAUCCUCCUUAUAGGGGCUAGAUUCAUCAAAAUAUAAAUGAAUAUCUUCUUCAAUAUUUAAAGUUUUUAUUGUAAAUUAUGUAAGCCUUACUUGAGAGAGAGUAGCCAAUAAAAAUACCUUUUUUUUUGUUCUCGUCGAACUUACCAAGAUUGUCUUUGUCAUUGUUGAGGACAAAGAAUUUACAUCCAAAAAUAUGAAAGUGAGAGAUGUUUGGAUUUCUUCCCUUGAAGAGUUCAUAUGGAGUCUUUUUGAAUAUCGGCCUUAUGAUAACCCAAUUGCUUACAUAAUAUUCCAUGCUUACCGCAUCCGCCCAAAAGUAUUUUGGUAGAGUAGAGUCACUUAGCAUGGUUCUUGCAAGUUCAACUAGGGAUCAAUUAUUUCUUUCACCCACUCCAUUUUAUUUACGAGUCCUUGGUGCUGAAAAGUUAUGAAAGAUGUUAUGUUCCUCACAAAACUCUUUAAAUGAUGCAUUAUGCAAUUCUCCACCAUGGUCACAUCUAAUUGAUGUAAUAUUCAAGGAUUUUUCCGUUUUGCACUUUCUUUGCAUAUAUUUUGAAUGCCUUGAAAGCAUCGUUUUUCUCUACUAAAAAUAGUGUCCAAGAAUAUCUAGAAAAAUCAACAAUAUUAACUAAAGCAUAUACUGAAGGUGACAAGAAACACAAGAAAUGGGGGUUUGAAUUGGGUUUUUAAAAAUGAAAACUUUUUCAACCCAACACAACAAAAUGAAAUAAGAGAAUAAAAAUAAUGAAAUAAUAAUACUGGUUCGUUGUUAGCAAAGCCACCUCCAGUCCAUCCGCCAAGGUUAUUUCGCCUUAUCAACAAGGACUUAGUCCACUAUAACCAAACUUAUUACAACAUAAAGACCUACAAUCAAUAUCUUCUUGAGUAUUCUAACUAAACCCUAGUCACUCAAGGAAAACAUAAUUAAAUAGGUUGAAAUACAAAUAUGUGUUUACAAAAUGCUUCUCAAAAAGAAGAAUACACAAAUGAAUACAAGUUUCUCACAAAAAAUAUAUUCUAUGAAGAGUAUGAACGAAAGUUCUAGUGUGUGUUUUCUUUUCUCUCAAAAUAUUUCACAAAUGCACUAUUUACGUAGAUGAAUUCUUAGAAUGUGUAGCGUAGCUUGGCACUGUUUCAUUCUUCAAAUCUCCUUUAUAUAGGCAAUACAAAUAUUUGUUGGAGGGUAGAGUUGAAAUAUCAAAAUGCAGUUAUAUCUUGCAUAAUGGUUGUCGCUACCAGAGAUUUCACGCGAUAACGAAACCGGGAACUGACUGUUAAAAAGAAACAUAAGAGUCGCCACCAAAUUUUAUUGGAUUUCCUCUUUGGGAGAGGGGAGAGAAAAUAGUCGAUAAAACCCUCGGGAAAAAGGUAUGCACAUAGAAAGUGCAAAAUUACGGAUAGAAAAUCGGUCUUGCAACCGAGACUUGGGUUCGGAAGUCGGUUACGCAAGGGGAAGGUAUUAGCACCCCUCACAUCCAUGAUACUCCAUGGGAACCAUUUAGUUUGUCUGUGUAUGUGGGUAUUUAUCUUGUUUAUUGUGUUUAUUUUCUAAAGAAAUUGAAAGAAUUGGGUUUUGGAUUUUUUAUUAUUGUGCUCGCCAAGGAUUGUGACCCUUGUGACUAUGUAUCAUUCUUCGGAUGAUGAAGAAUCAGAGCUCCGUAGUUUAGAGUAGAAAAUAUUUGUGUGUUGGUUUACUUUACCUUUGCCACAAUUUGACAAAGGUUAGAAAGUGAAAACCAGAGCAACAAUCAUAAUCUAAGAACACAACUGAGUACCAAAUAUGGAAUAACAGAAUUAAUAUAGGUUUUCUAAUUAAAAUGUUGAAGCGAACAUUUUGUGCAGUAAGAGAAGUUCGCGCUAUUCAAGAUGUCACAUAACAUGUUCCAAACAUCUUUUACAACAAGUUGGUUACAACCAAAUCUUUAUGUUAAACAACUUUAGCAGAAACUUGGACUCAACAAAUCUUGAAACAACUAUGAAGUGCAUGAGAAUCCACUACGUAUAACACUCAUGCCAAGAUGUCACAUGACAAUUCUGAACAUCUUGCUCGACAAGAACAACAAAACUUAGUAUGAACCAUAUGAAAAACACAUGGGCCAGGAUGUCAUAGAAUAUGUUAAAACAUCUUGCUCUCCAUUUGGUUAUUUUUAAGUGAAAGCACAAAUAACAUAUAUUAAAAAAAGUGUGCCCUUUUCUUUUUCUCCCCCUAUUUUCCUCAAAAGAGACAAAGGAUAUAUGACCGCCAUAAAAUAAGCAGCAAGCAAGAUGUUGUGCAGAUUCUUCUAGACAUUCUUCAGCACGACGAAACCAAAAACGGUCUAUAAGCAUGAGCUUAGAGAAAACAACAGCUCACAACUUCUUAUGAACACUAAAUAUAAACAACACCAUCAUAUCCUCAUCUCCCCCACAAAGAUGCAGUAGUAGUAACAACAAGUUAAGGUGGAAAUGUUUCAACGUUUCUCCAUAAAAAACCAUAUCAGUUUCAUAUAUGUGUAUCAGAAGACAGAUGUCAGACACAAGGUCAUCCACAUCUUUCCCAACAUUCAGUAUGUAACUUAAAGUCAAAACAUUUGGGGCAACACCAAUCUCAUCGUCACAAAUAACAAUGUUUUUCUUUUGAACACUCAAAAUAUCACAUAUUAGAUAGCAAACACUAAUAAGUGGUUGGAUGCCAUGAAACUCAAGCUGUUUAACAAAUUGACAAAGACAACAUUCUCCAUAUUCCAAGGUAGCAUGAGUUCCUACCUAGUACAAAAAACGAAUGAUGCAACAAUAUAUUUCUUUUGAUUGAAGACUUAGCAUAUUUUAAAAACCAAAAUCAUCAAUAACAGAAACAUUGAAAGGCCUAAUGUCUAGGGCAUAUUUUCCAACAAAUAGCUUGUUCCUAAAAUUCAGCACUCCGUGAGGAAUACAAAAUCCAAUAUUUAGCAUUGUCUUCAACAACUGAUCAUCACUAAGAAACUCCAUAAUUUUAUUAUACUUCCAUGCUUCAACAUAAUAUUCUUCUUCAUCCUCACUUGCAGUUUCCUCUUCUUCCUCAUCACCAUCUUCCUUUUCCUUGGUCAUAAUCUUGUCAAUAUAGAGAACCUUAUCAGACCAUGCAUAAUUGCUUCGCCAAAAUAAUCAUUAAUAAUUGAAGGUGAAAAAUUCACACAUUUUCCUCUAUCACACACCUUUCUAUACUCCUUGUUGCCUUAACAUUACACUCAAUAAUAAUGUUCACAAGAAAAGAAAUUCAUUAUCAAUAGAAUUAGUAAUAAGUAUCUUAGAUGAACAGCCCUUGUUUAAUGUCUCUCUUCUUAAUUCUACUCAUGUCUUUCUAUUUAGGACUCACCUUAAAUAUGAGACCCCUCUCACUUUCUCUCAAUCACUAACCCUAAUGAUCAAUACAAUAACCAAAAUAUUGAUUAUUGAAUUACAACUCAACUAACAAAGAAAACUUCAUGCCUUUAGAUAUGAAUGCCGACACUAGAGUAGUGCACAAACAAUAACACAAACAAAGACUCAAAAUGUAAAUCCUAACACAAAGAUUCUUCCAUACUUGCACACACUUUAAAUGUUAGAUUUGAGUCUCCUUAAGUAGCAAUGCAAUCUUCUGGGCUUUUCUCCAAUGUGCAUAAGAUAUGAUCACGUCCAGAUUUAUAGAGGAUCCAAUUUUGAUUUGUUUUUCAUAAACCUCCAACAAAAAGAUUUGAUUUGAUUCAAAUUUAAAUAUCUAAUUGAUUUAAUUUGAUCCUUUUAACCUGUCAAACAAAUUUAAUUCACGCAUUGCUAAAAGAUAGCAACAAAUUUGAUUGAAACACAACCAUAAAUUUUGCUCAUAACAACAACAACCAUGGCAUGUUGAACAAGGCCACAUGUCGCACACAUGCUGGAACAUGGUCCCACAUGUGUCCUUUCUUCACCAAAACAUCUUGUACACUCCAUAUUGUUUUAUAAAAUGCAGUCAAUCAAAAAGAACAACAUGUAUAUCAAAGUGAAUGUGUAGAAGUCUCCCGGUGCAACAUUUAGAUUAAAAUCUCUAGCAAAUAAUUAUUCCACUAUACAAUAAGAGGAAGUGUGAUUUUAUCUUUGUAAUUUAUUAAAGGAUGUGUGAGUUUUCUUGGUACUUAUUUGAAGGAUGUGUGAUUUAUACAAAGAUCCCAACAGUGGAAUACAAGAUUAUCUGAUAUUCCCAAUGAUGAAUGUGUGAUUAUUCAUGGCAUGAUAUGAUAAUUUAUCCCAGCAUUCUAGUCAUGUGGAUAUGGUGAUUUUUCCCAUGAUUCAGUUUAAGUCAUGUCUAUUUGUCUCGGUAACUAUUACAAUGAUAUGUGAUUAUUUUAGUGAUUUAGUAUAGGGCAUGCUGAUUUGUUCAUCCACCCCAAUUGGUAGGUAUGGAGAUUUAUCCUAUAAUCAGAUCAUUUAAGGUGCUAUAAUAUGGUUGGUAAAUUUUCUUUUCCUUUUUUCUUUCGGUGAAUUUAUAAAUAUAUCUUAUCAUCUUACACAUGUUUGUUGGAUUACUAAGAUGCCAACAUAAUUGAGUUGUCAGUUAAUCCUAAUGAUGUAUUUUCACAUUCAAGUUUUUGUUUAGAAAUCAAUAGCAUAUAGUUUUGUAUAUUAAUAUAUAGAUUUUACCGCUAAAUCAAUGUAGAAAUUCACAAAAGUAUUAAUGAUAAUUACCAUUCAUAAAAAAAUACCAAUAUAUUAUGUAUAUGAAUGUGAAUCAUUAAAAAAAUGUUAACGAGUAUAUUGAUGGAAUCAUGCUACUACAAAAUGUUAUACUAUUUCUCUAUAAUCAAAAUAUUAACAUAUAUAAAAUCAUACAAAAUUCGUUCAUUUUAUGUAUAACUGUUGUCAUGCUCAUUGUGAAUUAUUAUUAUUAUUAUUAUUAUUAUUAUUAUUAUUAUUAUUAUUAUUAUUAUUAUUAUUAUUAUUAUUAUUAUUAUUAUUAUCAAUUAUUAUUAUUAUUAUUAUUAUAAAAAACCCUUUCCAUCAUUAAAAGUUUAAAAGUUAGUUGAAAACAUGGAUUCAAAUUAUUAGCAAAAUUUUUAAAUUACCGUCUUUGUAAAUAUAACAUUUUGAUCUCCUUAAGAGACACUUUAAAAUAUUAUAAUUUAAUAGGAGGGUUUUUUUUAUUCAAAUUCUAAAGCACUAAAUUUUUUAGUUUUUUAUAGCAACAUGUGUUUUAUACAUUAUAUAAGAGAAUAAUAUUCUAUUUACUACAUGUAAAGAGAGAAAAUAUGACUAAAAUUCUCAAAUUUGUGUAUGCUAUAAUUUUAUUUCUUUUCCUUGUUCCAAAGAACAUUGGUGCUGCUGGUAACUUAUUUUUCCAUCCUUUUAUAAAUUCGUUCUAUAGUUAAUAGUUCACAUAUAAUCUUUAAUCUCAUUUUAGUAACAUUAUUUUGUUAUGUUUUUUCAUUACAGUGGCAAUUGGUUGUGUAACUGAUAAUGAUUGUCCAUCAAGAACUGCUAGUCGUAGGUAUAAGUGCGUUAGAAACAAAUGUAGACAUACUAGAGUAAUGCACUAAGGAAGAAUAAAGUCUCAUACUAGCAAUAAAAAAAAAGUUUCAAUAUAACUUUUUGCUAGAAUUUUUUUAGUUUCCACUUAAGUAUUGUGAUGACUCCAAAUAAUAUCAUUUUUAUUUAUUUAAUUUUUUGUAAUUUUACCAACCUUGCAAUAAUAGUUUUGUACUCUAAGAUCGGCCACUAAUUUAAGCAUGUCAUAAUAAUUUUAAUAGUUGAAUUGAAAGCAAAUUAUUUUAUUUAAAAGUUUAUAACUUUAAUUAUGCAUUAUAAUUGUUGGAAUUAAACCAUAAAUUUUGAGUAAUUUCGAAUCAAUAUUGAUGAACAAGAUUCAAUCAACCGAUUGAAUUCUCAUUUGUUCUUCACUUUUCAUUUGAGUAAAUCAAUCAACAUUGGUUGUAAGAUUGUAUCGUUGCACAAUGAUGAUGAAAACAAGAAAAAAAAUUGAAUAAGAAAGAAGAUUAGAGUUUGACGGAAAUUGGAGAAGAAGAUGAUUUAUGCAGAGUCUCUCUCUGCCCACUAUUUGUAGAAAAUCUCGUUAAUUUUGCAACUGCAAGUGAUUACAAGAUUAUAAUAAAAAUAGAGAUUACUCUCCCUAUUUAUAAUUGAGCUAGCUUGCUCCUUAAGCUAAAGCUCGGAAAUUACAAAGGCCCAAAAUACCUAUUUUGGUCUAAGUCAAAAUUGUGUCAAGCAACCUGCUUCUAUACUUCGACAUCUAAUACAACUCGACGCACACUACAUGUUUUGACACAUCCUUGUUUUUGUCAAGUACUACCAGCUUCGACACAAUGAAUUAUAAUUCAACACAUCAUCUAAUUGGUUGUGUCUAAGCUAUCUACAUUCAUCAUAGAUCUUAACUUCUCAAACACUUCGAUUUGCACUCCUUCGUCAUGAUAUUUGCAAUCUGAUUCUCAGUUCUAGAGUGUUCCAAGUUUAGCUUCUCUUCUGCUACCUGCUCUUAAAGAUAGUGGAACCAUAUUUCGAUGUGCUUGCUUCGCCCAUGUGCUAUCGAAUUCUUCGCUAGAUUGAUAGCAGACAUGUUGUCGAUCUUCAUGGUAAUUGCUCCAUGAUUCUUCCCUGUAAUCUCUUCGACUAGAUUCACCAUCCAUGUUGCUUGACAUGCACAAAGAGAAUCAGUUAUGUACUCUGCUUCACACGACGACAAUGCCACAACUGGUUCCUUUCUCAAACUCCAAGCAAUUGGCGCACCAUCUAGCAUAAACAAAUAACCAGCUAUGGAUUUUCUAUCCUCAACAUCACUACACCAAGUUGAGUCGGUGUAUCCCACUAGCUUGCAUUAUUUUCCUUCAUCAGCUGCAGGAAACAUAAUUCCAUAGUCGAGAGUUCCUUUCAGAUACCUUAGAAUCCUCUUCGUUGCUGCUAGGUGUAAUACCUUUGACUUCUAAAUGAAUCUACUCAUUAUACCUACACUGUAUGCUAGAUCAUGCCUUGUGUGACAAAGGUAUCGAAGUGAUCCAACGAGUCUUCGUUACUGCGUUGGAUCGACAUCAUCUUCAUUUGUGUCUUUCGACAGUUGCAAUUUGGGCUCAUCUAGAGUUGAAGUUGGAUUGUAUUCUUGCAUCUCAAAUCUCUUGAGUAUUUUGCCUGCAUAUCUUCUUUGGUGCAUUAUCAAGCCUCUACUACUCUUGUAGAAUUUGAUGCCAAGAAAGUAUGAGAGAUUUCCUAAGUCAAACAUUUCAAACUCCUUACUUAGGUCAUGUUUGAAGUCUUCGAUCUCCUUCUUGCAACUUCCUGUUAUUAACACGUCAUCAACAUAGAGACAUAGUAUAAGUAAUUCAUUAUUGCUUCUUCUUACAUAUAUUCCAUGCUCAGUUGUGCACUUUGCAAAUUCCUUUUCCCUUAGAAAAUUGUCUAUCUUCUUAUUCAAAGCUCUUGGAGCUUGCUUAAAUCCAUAUAGGGCUUUAUGCAGCUUGUAUACUUGCUUUCUUCGCCAGGCUUCACAAACCCUGCUGGUUGUGCAACAUACACUUCUUCAUCUAAGGGUUCAUUCAGGAACACGCAUUUCACAUCCAUAUGACAUGUGUGCCAGUUGUUCAUGUUUGCUAGAUCAACAAUCAACCUGAUUAUUUCGAUCCUAGCAACAAGUGCAAAAACUUCAUCGAAGUCGAUUCCUUCCUUCUGAAGAAAUCCUUUCACCACAAGUCUUGCCUUGUGUCGAUUUACUUCCUAUUUUGGAGUGUAAGGUGGCACCACCUCAUGCAUAAUCCCUUCUUUCUCACAUAGUUUGUCGAAGUCUUUUGACACAUACUCUCCACCACCAUCAGUCCUUAGAAUCUUGAGCUUUCGACCAAUUUGUAUUUCGAACAUAGAUUUAAACUUGGCAAAUACCUUGAUCACUUCACUUUUCUUCUUGAUCAGGUAAGUCCAUAAUUUUAGACUGAAAUCAUCUAUGAAUGUGACAAAGUAUCUAUUACCUCCAAUCGAAUGACCUGGAUAGAACCAUACACAUCAGAGUAUAUGACUUCAAGAAUUGCCUACGACCUGCUUCAUGUAUCUUUGUUGAAUUUGUUAUUGUGCUACUUCUCCUGUACACAUCCUUCACACAUUUUAUUUGGAUGUCAAUUUCUGGUAACACUGCAACCAUGUUUCUUCUUUUCAGAUCUCUGAUGUCUUUGAAAUUGAGAUGGCUAAGUCUUUAGUGUGAUAUCCAUUCAUCCCUGCUAGCUGCAGUUGCAAGGCACUUGUGCUCCAUCACAUUAAGUUCAAUCCUGAAGGUUCUAUUCUUAGACAUAGGUGCCUUCAAGAUUAACCUUCCACCUAAGUCGAGAACUCUCAUCAUAUUAUCUUCAAUCGACACUUUGUAGUUUUUUUUACCAACUUCCCUAUGCUAAGCAAAUUUCUUUUCAUGUCUGGUAUGUACAGUACAUUGGAAAUUACUAACUUUUUGCCAUCUUUCCUCAUAAUCAUAACAUCACCAAUACCUUCAGCUGCUAAAGUAUUUUCAUUUGCAAAUUUUACCAUGUUCUUCAUUGAGGGUUUCAUGUUGACAAAACAAUUUUUCCUACCAGUCAUGUGUGAUGAGCAUCCUGAGUCAAAGUACCAUUGGUCCUAGAAUUUUUCUUCAUCUCUUGUUGUGACCAUUAACAACAUCUCUUCUUCUUCAUGCUUUGUAAACUUUGCAUCAUUAUCUUGAUUCUUUUGUUUUUCAGGACAAUCACUAGAGUAAUGACCAUACUUUUGAUAAUUGAAACACUGAAUGUGACUUUUUUCAGUUUUUGACCACCACUUCUUCCUCUACCUGCACCACCACAUCUUUGGUUGCUUUAUUAUAAGGGUCUUCUCUGGUUCAAUCAACCUCCUUCUUGCUGAUUUCGACUAGUCGAAUUGUUGUAGCCUCAUCUACCCUUGUUGUCGACACACUUCCCUUUGACUUUCUUUUCUCUUGUUGAUUGUGCCUGCAUAGCCACAUCGCUCUUCGACUUGCCUGCAACUCUUUCAACCAUUCUUUGUUCAUGAGAUCCAAGUGUCCCUUGAAGCUCUUGUUUUAUCAAUGCUGACAAAUCUUUCGACUCUUCUAUGGCUACUACUACAUGGUCGAACUUAGGAUCCAAUGACCUCAAGAUCUUUGAAACAACUGAUCUUGAUGUCAACACUUCUCCAUAUACCUUGAUUUGAUUCACCAAUUUUGUAAUCCUAGUGAAGAAAUCAAUUAUGCUUUCAUUGUCUUCCAUCUGAAGCAACUCAUACGUUCUUUUGUGAGUUUGUAACCUCACCUCUUUCACCUUCUCUCCGCCUCCAAACGAUUUUUCAAUAAUUUCCCACGCUUCUGUCGAUGAUUCAACAUCACUAACCUUUUCAAAAUUGUCAGAAUCGACACAUUGAUGAAUUAUAAAGAGAGAUUUAUAAUCUUUCUUCUGCAAUUCUUUGUGUGCAACUUUUUCUUCAUUCUUCGCGUUUGUUGCAAGCAGUCUCAAUUCCUCCUUCGCAAGAUCCCAAAGAUUUUGAUAGCAAAAGAUAACAUUCAUCUACUUGCACCAAUUCUCAUAAUUCUGAUUCUUCGGAAUUGGGAAACCCUCCAAAAAAUGCUCAUUCAGAUUAUUUAUCACCAUCGUGUUUUGCUUCCCAUGAAUCGCUCAGCUAGUGCUCUAAAUACCAUAUGUUGGAAUUAAACCCAAAACUUUGAGUAAUUCCGAGUUAAUCUUGAUGAAUAAGAUUCAAUCCACCGAUCAAAUUCCCACUUGUUCUUCACUCUUCACUCAAGUGAAUCAACUAACCUUGGUUGCAAGAUUGUAUCGCUUCACAAUGAUGACGAAAACAAGAAAAUAAAAUUGAAUAAGAAAGAAGAUUAUGGUUUGACAGAAAUUAGGGAAGAAGAUGAUUUCUGCAGAGUCUCUCUCUGCCCACGGCCUGUAGAAAAUAUCGUUAGUUUUGCAAUUACAAGUGAUUACAAGAUUGUUAUGAAAAUAAUGGUUACUCUCUCUAUUUAUAAUUAACCUAGCUUGCUCUAUAUGCUAAAGCCCAAAAUUUACAAAGGCCCAAAAUACCUAUUUUGGUCUAAGUCAAAAUCAUGUGUCAAACAACCUACUUCGACACUUCGAUAUCUAAUACAACUCGACGCACACUACAUGUUUCGACACAUCCUUGUUUCUGUUGAAAAAUACCUACUUUGGCAUAAGGAAUUACAAUUCAACAAUAAUAAUUGAAAUUCUGGUAUGCAGAUCCCAUAUGUCAUAUACGAUGUCACGACACCAGGGUCAACGUAUUGUCACAACACAAACAAUAUCAGUGUUUAAGUAAGUAGCAGGAAGUAAAUAACACAAAUAAUUGUUAACCCAGUUCGGUGCAAUGUCACCUACAUUUGGGGGCAUCCAAGCCAUGAAGGAAGUCCACUAUAACAUAAUUAGUUCGUAGUUCUAAACAACCUCAUGUUUUAUAAAUUUCUCACCUAAUCUCUACUCGUGGAGGUUUCUAUCCAAGAUUCUUCUAGAUAUGAGACCCGUCCCACUUCUCUUCAAUCACACAAUAUUGACAACGACUUCUAUCAGAAAAUAGAGGACACACUUCCAAUAAAGCAGAAUUCACUCUUGCUUAAAAACUCAUGAGUGAUUCACAAUUACAACUCAAUAAAACAAGUCAAAUUCAAGUAUCGAAGAGAUACUCGAAUGGCUCGCAAAUAACAAAGACACCUAAACCCUAACAAAGACAAUAUACAACACUGCUUCUUUGCAUUCUUAGGUUUAUAAUCAAUCUUUAAAUAUCACUAGAAAUGCAUGGGUUUGGGCUUGAUCAACAGCAGAUCCAAGAACUACUGCACAAUCUUCUGCAAAUUUGAAUCCAAUCAUAUCGGAUGUUUCCUAAAAUGUAUUGACAUCCUUACUUCGGAAAUAAGGCAAAGUACAAAUAACCCUUUGCUUUUAAAACAUGUGUUUCUUUAACCACAUAACUCGUGAAAUAAACCUUCAGAGGAUCUUCAGAUAUCUCACGAUAGAAACAAAUCUUUCAAGAAACUGAAACAGGGUACACUCCGAUGUUGAACCAACAUGUCAGGACAUCUUGUCCAACAUCUUGCUUGAAUACACGUUUUUCCAAAAUGCAGUCAAUCCUUACACACUAGACUUAACAAUCCCCCCCCCUAUUGGUAAAUUUUGGCUAAAACAAGCUAUUCAUAACCCAACUAGAAAGAGGGUAAAGAUCACAACAAUAAGGAGCAAUAUAAACAACACACAUGCAUAAGAAAACAUGAUCUUCUUCAAACCAAAAACAACAGAGGCAAGCACAGUAGAAAAAAAUGUAUCCUCACAUCAGAGAGAAUUAAACUCUCACAUGAAGAACCCGCUUAAGAGAAAAAUAAAUUCUCUCAAUCAGGAUGUCAAGACAUUUGUUAUGACUUCAUUAAAACUAACAUCCCACGCGAACUAGCAUAUCACCAUAAUCUAGAAAAGCAUAUACCCCCCUUGAGUAGCAUAACAAUUGCAAGAGCUACUCCCCCUCCAUAAGAAAUCCCCCUCAAGGGGCAGGACUCAUGGCAGGGCUAUCAAAAAGACCACAAGAACUAUUCCCCAUUUUUAGCCAAAAGAUUGACAAACACAAUCAAACUUAGAAGUAGCAGAGCAAACAAUCAGUUAAGUUACAGAUCAAGAGCA
rnacentral:lncRNA from 1 species